rnacentral:lncRNA from 1 species
UGCUAGAGCAUCAGCCAUUCCUUGUUUUCCACCAGAGCUGCUUCCAAUUCCACUCUUUCUCCCGUUGGAUGCCUUGCCAUCCAAGCUAGAUCCUUUCACCUUUCUCUUGAGAAGACGGUAGAGACUACCCAUCUGAGGUGAUCUCUUCAGUUAGUGUCUGUCUUGUGGCGCAAGGAUCUUCCUGUGCCGAGUGCGGGAGGUGGGGGUGGAGCAGCUCCAUUUGAUGGGCCUUUUAUCAUGGGUGGUGGCUGUGGAGGACCUCCAUUUGAUGAUCCUGGUGGAGGUGGUGGGGGUGGAGGACAGCCAAUUGACGGUCCUGGUGGAGGUGGUGGUGCUGGAGCUCCAUUUGAUGAUCCUGGCGGAGGUGAGAGUAGGGGUGGAACGACUUUUGUUGACCUUGGUAUCACUGGUGUUGGUGGAGGGGUUGGAUUUACUGACACUGGUCCUGGUUCCAUUGGUAGAGGCGGUGGGGGUGGUGGCCCCCUAACUGCUACUACAUUAUGUGGGGUUAAUGUUGGUGGUGGUGGAGUUGCUGUAACUUGUGGCCGCAUGGCGGGUAGUGAUGGUGGUGGCGGCGGUGGUGUUGCAACAUUUAGCUUCAAAGUGUGUAGUGGUGGUGGUGGAGGGGAUGUUGGUAUUCUUGUUGCUGUUUCUGUAUUGGACAGUGAAAGUUGUUGCGUUGGUGGAGGUGGAGGUGGAUGCGGAGGCGGAGGCGGAGGUGCUGAUUUUGGUUGUGGAAGUGUAGGUGAGGGUGAAAGCAAUGAUGCUCCUGUGGUGUCUGCUUCCAAUGCUUCAGAGGCCGUGGUUGGAGUUUCAACAUCAUCACUUGUGUUGUCGAUACCCUGUCCACUAGACUUCUCAUCCAAACUAAGAUUUGGGGCUACUACUUCCUCAUCUCAUCUGUUGCUGCAAUUGUCUUUUGAGGGUUGCUCUCUAAUUCUGUCCCAAUUGGUGGGUCUUCAAACAAAUUUUCAAUCUUGUCCAGGCCAUUGUUGGUACCAUGAGCUCCUUGUUUUGAUAAGUGAAGAGACAAGUUCUUAACAUCAAUCGGAUUUAGCUUCCCAACUGCUUGCACUCUCAGAGUCCAAAGUAAUGGUGAUUUGGAACCAAUGUUGGCCUUCUUUCGUGCUCUCGGAGAACCAUCAAUCUCGGGUAGGACAGAAGAUGGAGUGAUCGGAGAAGGACAGGUGGAACCUGAGGCGUAGCUCUCCGAAUCGCUCAAGAACUUCCCAAAUGAGCAAUUCCGAGGGCUGUAAUCUUCUCUUUUCUGGCCAUCCUCAUCCAUCAUAUCAAACUUGUCCAGUGCCAUCUUCAUCAAGCAAUCAAACGUUUCCAGCACCGUCUCAACUACAAAAUCGUAUAGAGAAUCAGCCUUAACUUAAAAUUUCACAAAUGGAAAUAACAAUUAGGCUGUUGCUUCCAUUUCCAAAUGGGAGGCCUCGACUAGUCCUCGAGAAAAAUUUGUAGCAUACCGAGUUCAUCCUGAUUGACAUUCUCCUUGGGUGAUGGGAAAUCAUAUCUCGGUUUGUCCAACCUGUCAUAACUUGUCAUCCAAGACUCUCCAAUAGAUUUCAAUGCCUUGCAGAAGGAGGCCAUGACCUGAUUGUGGAUGUUUAAUUUGAGAAAUUAGCUUAAUGGUCUCGAGUAUAAUUACAUAUGCGUACUAAGCCAUUUCUUAUGGAUCUUAAAUCCUUAAUUACCUUCUCUGUACAUGCUUCCUUUAUCUCCGACAAUUGUUUAUGCAGCACAAUUUCAGGGAAAAGCUUCUGUAGAUCUCCCAUCAACCUCAUUACCAUCUGCAAGCAGAAAAUAAUUGGAAAAUUAAACAAAUUGUGUUUUAAUCCUGAAAUUGAAGUACAAGAUUUCAACGGGAAAAAAGGAAAUGUUAUUAGCAAUCCAAAAAAUUCAUUCUGCGCUCCAUCUUUUAAUCUUCAUUAGGGAAGAGUGUACUAUAACAUGUUUAGAGUUCCUAUAAAAGCGCUUUGGAAAAAAUAAAAAAGGGGGCACAUACCUCAGUUAUUGCAGCAGAAGCAUCACAUGCUGGUAGGUCGAUGAUGCCUCUAAAGAUGGUGAUCUUCUUCCGGAGCUCAGUCAUCCGAACCUCAUUGGCUGAAUCUCCGCAAGACCUAUCUUUUGGCAUGCCUCCUCUCCUAGAAGCAUUCUUCUGUUUCACAGGCAGACUCUUGGUUGGCCCCCUUGGAGUCUUUCAUUGCCAGAAAGAACAACUCUAUUCAUGUUAACCAUUUUCUAGUCUACACCUUAUUGUGAAUCGAUUCAUUUUCAGUGAUUAUUUAUUUUAUGAACCUUAAUCAAAGAUUUAUGGCUGCAUUCAACAAACUUAAUCUAGACAAGAAACAAUGCUGCCAUGUUUCCAUUUAUAUAGAUUAUUAGCAUGCCUAGAUGUAGAUGGUCAGUUUUUACUCGACCUCAUCCUCAAUGUGACUAGGAUUCUCUCCAUUCCUCUUUCCAUCCUCUUUCAUCUCCUCCUCUUACAUUCUCUUACAUUCUCUUUCUCUUGCUAUAAAAAAUUAAUAUAAGAUGUUAACAUGGUUUAAUUGUGACCGUUCAAAUAGAAGAUGAGGGAAAAAAAUAAGGAAGAGAAUCCUACUCCCCUCAAUGGUGCUAUGAAUAAUAUGAAGUUUAAAAUAAUAAAGUUUUGUGAAAAAUUCUUGGUGACAGCCAAAUCGUAUAGAACAGAACCAAAUGCGCCCUCUGUGUGAAAUACAUUUUCAAAUAUGAACCACGGCUUUUUUCUUCUUCUUUCUUUUUCGAAAUAUAGCAACGGAUUUUCUUAGGAUACUCCUACAAUUCAUCUUUAGAAGAGACUAGUCAUUUAAAUUGAAGAAGCUAAAUCUGGAAAAGGACAAAAAAAGAAGGGGGCUGCAAAUCGAAGAAGCUGAAAAGAAAAGGAAAAAAGGCGUUAAGGGAGUAGCCAAAUAGCUUCGAAAGCAAUUCAAUAGUUGAUAACAACCCAUUUAAAUUGAACCCAAGAAGCUUCUACCAUUUAAAAUUCAACAAAACACAAUCUAUACAGUCGGAAAAAAACAAAAAAACGAUUCCAUAAGAUUCAGGAAAAAGAAUAAAAAUUAUAUACCUUGUUGAUAAAGAAAGAGCUUGCAAAGCUGCAGAUAAAAACUGGAAAAUUCGAGCAACAACUUUUGCUGCAACUAAAAAUCAAAGCAGUUCAGAAAAGUACACCCAAAGCUUGAAAAAAAUUAAAUCACACACAAUCAGAAAAAUAGAAAACUCACCAGUAAACGUUUGAUCGUAUUGUUAACUUUUCCUGAAAUCAAAAAUCAAAACACAUAAGAGAACUCACCACAAUCCAUAUAGUUGCAUAAAAAACUUGUAGAUGCAAGAUUAGAAGAACUCACCACAAAACUAUCCACUUUGAGACCAGCAGAGGCGAAGAGAGGGGAGAGCAAACGGCUACGGAAGAAGCGAAGCAAGAGAAGUGGGAAAAAAAUUGGGGAAUCAUUGCAGAAAGAAGAAAAGGAACCGGACAAAAAUGUUGAAGGGCAAAGUUGAAAUAACAAAAACGAAGCAAGGGCAUUUGGUCCGCACACUGCCCUAGAACAGUGGCACACGAGUUUGUAAUUUUAGUGGUGUUUACUCUGAAUCAAUACUUACCACGUGAUUAGAAAGUGAUUUGUUCAUCUAAUAUAAACUUGUCACAUGAUAAAAUAAUUGUACAAAAGAAUCUCUCUUUUCAUCGAGACCGGAAUUAUUGAAUUAUGAUAGGAAAAUUCUACGCAUGCUUUGAAACACAUCAAUCAGUCUAUACUAUUAACCACGUAUUUCUUCAUUGUUGGGGAAAUUCUACGUAGCAUGUUUUUCAUGAUUACAUUAUCUUUAACAUUCGUAAACAAAAUAGAGGUCUAGAUUCGCAGACUCGAUGCCUACCUAUUAUUUUUCAUUGAUUAUUGGUCAUGCUACUAGCUGACUAGGAAGAUCGACUCUCCCUUACUGUUAUUAAAAUUUCGAAAUUUUCUAAUUCUCAUUUGUUUUUGUUGCAUAAGGUUUUUUUUUUUUUGGUUAAUUGUUGCAUAAGUAAUUUGGCAUGUAUUUUUUAACAAUGUUGGAUGAGAAAUCUAAUGGUUUAAGAAUUAUAAAUAAGAAUUUAAAAAACAUUUAGUGACAUUAAAAAAAGUAUUUCUUUGUAAUUUUAGUGGUGUUUACUUUGAAUCAAUAUUUACCACGUGAUUAGAAAGUGAUUUAUUUAUCUAAUAUAAACUUGUCACAUGAUAAAAUAAUUGUACGAAAGAAUCUCUCUUUUCAUCGAGACCGGAAUUAUUGAAUUUAUGAGAUUUAAUUGCAAUGUGUCCAUUUUAUGUGCGGUAGUUGUUGAUUUUUGCGCGGCGGGUUCGAAUCAUAUAAACCUAUAAAUAAAGAUUAAAUUGCAAUGUUUGUAUGACAUUUAAAUUAGUCUGGACUUGUAGUUUAGAAGUAAUGUUUCUAACAUGGUGUAUGAAACUUAAAUAUCCCAUAUAUUUUUUUCAUCCACUGUAUAAAAAAUGAAAAUACAUGUGUUAAUCACUUAUACAAUACAUCCAAACGAGAAUAAGAAAAUUUCAGAAUUUGAAUAAAAAAUUAUGGGAGAGUCAAUAUGCACAUGAUUUUUGCUUUAGUACCGUGGGAUAAUAGCUUACCGUAAGCAAAAACACAAAAUAUAAAUUAUAAAUAUAAUAGAAGGAUAACUGGAAUCGCUCCGGGGGUCUCUCACCCGUCCUUGACCUCUUACCAAGAAUUUUGGCUUCUAUCCCAUCCCAGGGCUAGAAUUUUAAUCUCUGGAAGGCAAAGCUUUUCUAUUCAACUCUUCAUUGUUUGUUAAUCUGAAUUACAAGGGAUGUUUAUAAAGCCUAAAAAUGACCGCAUGAAGGUAAACUUAUUAUAGUAAAGAAAUCCUAAUCCAAAAUAAAAUAGGACACUAUAUCUAAUCCUAAUUAAACUGGAAAGAAUUAUAGAGCUCGUUGGAAGUGAUUUUAAAAGCUGAUAGUGUUUUUGGUGAAAAUGAUUUAGGAACCAAUGCUUAGUAAAAAUGCAAGUAAAUUCUAAAAAAAAAACACUUAGUGUUUCCUUAAAAAAACAUAUAACCGGUGGUUCUUAUAAUAAGCACUUCAAGUGCUUUUGAAAUCCAAAAAUAUUUUAUCUAAAAACGUUUUUAAUCAUUUUAAAAGUACUUUGAAAUCAACCUUUAAUUCUUAUAAACUAAGCAAUCAUAAAACUACCCCCUAGAUAUUAAAAUACUAAGGACUAAAGACUAAAAAGGCUAAAAUACCCUUUAAUUUAGGAAGUCACCACUCUUGUUCCACGUGACUUAGCUAUUACUAAUUUACUAUCACCAGUAAUUGAUGAAAGAUAACAUCAAAAUAGAGAGGCAUAUAGAGUCAGCAAAUCUAGAACCUCUCUUUUUCAUGCAAAUUUUCCUCAUCGACGAAGAAAAAUGUGCUAUAUAUUUUUUAUUCAUGUGUUUCAAAAGUGGAUGGUCUCUUCCGUAAGGUGGUGAACUUAAAGAAAUUUGAGGUUGUAUUGUAAAAUUAAUUAGUAAAUAGAGAGUGGUUUAAUUCUUUAUAAGCUCUUGUAUGAUUUGAUUUCUCACCGAUGUGAGACUUUGUCUUUACAUUCUUACACUAUUCUCGCACGUGGCAAAUUUUAAAACCUAACAUGCGGACAAUACAAAUUGGGUGACGUGGAACAUGUGUAGCCAUUGGACUUCACACGUGGGCUAAUAUGAAGAUUAGUCUAACUCUUCAUAAGCCCUUGCAUGAUUUGGUUAAUCACUGAUGUGGGACUUUGUUCUCACAUUCUCACACGCUCCAUCAUGUGUGGCGAAUAUUCAAACCUAACAUAUGAACAAUACAUAAAAUCUCAAUUUUCUACAAAGUAUCAGAGUUGGUUGAAUCAGAUGUUUAAUUAUUCUUUCGUAGUAUGAAGUCAAUUGAACUACGUGUUUGAUAUGUAAGGAUGUAAAUGUUGAUCCACAUCAAAAAGUUAAGAGACCGUUUACGAUUUUAAUUUGUCCUGAAAGAUGCAUUUCACCACUUGAUGUAGCUCGUAUGGGAAGCCUAACUUUUUUUUUUUUUUUUUUUUUUUUUCUCGCAAUAUAGAUUGUUAACUUUUUCUUUUAAUUUGAGGGAUUCUCCUUGUCUUAAUGAUGUUGACAUCAGAGUGGUAUGGUUCAUGAAUCUUGACUAAGAAAACCCUGCAUUCAUACACACAUUUUUAGUGUGCGGUCCCGCCAAUUUCAACUAUAAAAACAUCACAAUCCCCUUUCCUUCUUAAUUGCAGAGUGGAAAGGAAAACCAAUUCAGCCAUGUCUUCAUCUCCCUUACCAACUUCUACAAUGGCCACCCUGCACUCCACCACAACCACCCUCUUCCGCUCUCCUUUAUUCCCAAACAAGUCCCAGACUCCACUGCAACGAAAACCCAAACAAUGCCUUGCGGGUAGAGUGCGCUGCAAAACAACAAAAGGUGACAAUGAUAACCUAGAUCAGGGCCUAGCAAGACUCGACAGGAGGAACAUGCUGAUAGGUUUAGGCGCCGGGGGUCUCUACGGUGCGGUAGGAAACCCAUUUGCUUUUGCCGCACCAGUAUCCGCCCCAGACUUGACCACGUGUGGCCCUGCCAACAAGCCAGACGGGUCCACCAUCGAUUGUUGCCCACCUACCACCACGACCAUCAUCGACUUUGAACUCCCUGACUCAGGCCCACUCCGCACUAGGCCCGCUGCUCAGGACGUUGCAAAUGACCCUGAAUACUUGGCCAAAUACAAAAAGGCCGUCGAGCUGAUGCGGGCACUUCCAGACGACGACCCGCGCAGUCACGCACAACAGGCGAUGGUACACUGCUCAUACUGCGACGGUGGAUACCCACAAGUCGGAUAUUCGGAUUUGGAGAUCCAAGUUCACUAUUGUUGGCUCUUCUUCCCGUUCCAUCGUUGGUACCUCUAUUUCUACGAGAAAAUCAUGGGCGAGCUCAUUGGGGACCCAACCUUCGCCCUUCCGUUCUGGAAUUGGGACGCGCCAGCUGGCAUGUACAUUCCUGAGAUUUUCAUUGAUACGUCAUCAUCCCUCUACGACCAGUACAGAAAUGCAGCGCAUCAGCCCCCAAAGCUCCUGGACUUGAAUUAUGGCGGGACUGACGAUGACGUCGAUGACGCGACACGAAUCAAAGAAAACCUAACAACGAUGUACAAGCAGAUGGUGUCGAAUGCCACUUCUCACAGACUCUUCUACGGAGAGCCCUAUAGCGCAGGGGACGAACCAAGUCCUGGUGCCGGAAACAUUGAGACCACUCCCCAUAACAAUAUUCACCUUUGGGCUGGUGACCCAACCCAGACAAACGGGGAGGACAUGGGGACAUUUUACUCUGCGGCGAGGGAUCCGCUGUUUUACUCUCACCAUUCCAACGUGGACCGCAUGUGGUCUAUAUAUAAAGAUAAGUUGGGUGGUACGGACAUAGAAAAUACCGAUUGGCUGGACGCAGAGUUCUUGUUUUACGACGAGAAAAAGAAUCUCGUGCGCGUCAAGGUUCGGGACUCGCUCGACACGAAAAAACUCGGGUAUGUGUACGACGAGAAUGUCUCGAUCCCAUGGCUGGAGUCAAAGCCGACGACUCGUAAGUCAACAAAUAAGAGAAAGGCUGCGGUUUCAUCUUCUGAUCUUUCUACAACGUUCCCUGCUACACUAUCAGAUAUAAUCAGCGUCGAGGUGACGAGGCCGUCUACGACGAAACGGACAGCUGCCCAGAAGAAGGCGCAGGAGGUGCUGGUGAUUAAGGGGAUUGAGUUUGCCGGGAAUGAAACUGUGAAGUUCGACGUGUAUGUGAACGAUGAUGCGGACUCACUGGCCGGGAAAGACAAGUCGGAGUUUGCUGGGAGUUUUGUUCACGUGCCGCAUAAGCAUAAGAAGAAUAUUAAGACAAACCUGCGGCUGAGCAUUACAAGCUUGUUGGAAGAGUUGGAUGCGGAGACAGACAACAGUUUGGUAGUGACUUUGGUGCCGAAAGUUGGGAAGGGGCCAAUCACCAUCGGAGGGUUUAGCAUUGAGCUCAUUAAUACUACCUGAGUAUUAAUUAAUGUUAUUGUUGGUUCUUCUUGUUGUUGUUGGGUUGGCUUAAUCAUGUUUUUCUAGCUAAUUACUCCUGAACGUUCGUAAUGUGCUCAUCUACUGCUUAUGUGGCAGAUGAUGGUUGGUGUUCCUCGUGAAUAAAAGCACUAUUGUGUUUCGGUGUGUUUAUUUAUUGAAUAAAGAAUUGAUGGUAGAGUUUAAUCAUAAUUUUCUAGAACUAAUGAUGGUACACUACUUUAAUAUUAUUGUUAUUUGUGAUAAUGGAGGACUGACAAUUGAGUCAUAAUCUUGCGCAAAGAGAAAAGAUAACAAACAUGUAAGCCAAAAAAGUGUAGGGGUAAAACAACUAUAAAGCUAAAUAUGUGGUAGUGACUAGCAUAAAAAGUUUUUUUAUUUUUUAUUUUUGGAAGAAAGGUAAAUUUUAUAACAAAGAACACUAACUUACAUAGAAAAUACCCACAUACAAAUAGAUACAAAGCAAAAAUGGACCUCCCAAGCUAACCAAAAAGGGCCCAACCAAGAGGCCCAAACCAAAAACAAAUCGAAAGAAAAUUCGAGAAGCCUGCUACCACUGCUGCAACAUUGCGUCACGAUCAACCUGAUUCGGCUCCCCCAAUAGACACCUAAAACCCAACCAUGCAGCAACACACUCAUUUUCGGUGUGAUGUAAUCGAAUCCAACGUGAUACAACCCUUACGCGGCUGCUUACUCAAUGUAACAGUAACUGGUAUAUUUCAUUACAAUAUCAACUUUUACAACAACCUUUCCUUUUACAGACUUAUUCUUUAUAUAGUCACUACCUAGCUUAUCCUGCAAGUUAACUACUAACAACCUUCUCUAACAGACUUAAGGCUCGUUUGGAAGUACUUAAAAAUGACAAAAAACGUUUUUGGUACAAUUGAUUUUGGGUUUCAAAAGCACUUUAAGUGCUUUUUGAAGAAGCACCAGAUAUGCGCUUCUUGCAAGAAGCGCAUAAAGUGAUUUUUCAUGAUCCACUUAGAUUUUUACUAAGGAUUGGUUUCAUAAACAUUUUCACUAAAAACGCUUUCAAUCAUUUAAAAAACACUAUCAAACAAGCCCUUAUCCACUUAGCAACUAUCUGUUACCCUAGUUAGCCCAUCCACUUCACUGAUUCUAUAUGCUGAGUCAGCAAUUACAUAGAAUCCUAUUAUAGAGCCAAGAUAUGCUGUCUCCUUUUUUGUGUCUCUCAUUGUAGUAACUCUUUGAGAAUCAAUAAAAAAAUGAUAUAUAUUGUAGCACUUAAAUGGUAACUGGUUAGUAAGUUAGAAUGACAUUAUAUUUAACGUGAAUUAUUUACCAGGAAGAGAAGCUUCUCUGUUAGUUUCUUUUUUCUUAAGCCUCUCUAACUGAAGUGGCUAAGUAUAGCCCAGUUCAAAAUUAUAACCCUCCAAGAAAUUAUUUUUUAUUAACAGUAUCAGAUCAUAUUCAUUAUUCAUAUACCAUUUCCAACCAAAACGGCUAAACAUAACUCUUUCAAUAAUUUAUUAAUUUUAUGUUUUCUUUAAAUUUAUUAAAAAAAUAUCUUUUUCGGAUAUAAUCGCGAGACACAUGUCAAGCUCAUGGAACUAAUGUAACAACUAAUACAUAUAUGUAUAUAUAAGAAAAUACAAUUUACAAGGACACAACAAAGACAAGAUCGUAUUCAUUUGCCUGGAUGUGGUACUAAUUAAUUCCAAAAUCAAAACCAUACUCAUACAUACAAAGCCUAAUUUUUUACAAGAUUUCUUUGGACCGGAUUAUUUACAAAGGUCACAACAAAAGAAUAAAAAUCUUUUUUUUUUUUGGUAUUGCAAAAACAGUGCUAUUUACAAGGAAAUUAGGGUUUCAGUUGUGUUGGGGACCAUCAGACUCGAUUUCAUUAGCCAGUUCUUUUGUGAGCAUGUCAGCCCGAUCAUCAUGUCCACCAGCGAAUGUGUAAACCCUAAAAGCAAACUGAAAAGCCUUCCACAGCAUUUUCACACAAAUCUUUGUUUGCUUCUGAUCAGUUUUUGUUCCAGUCUUACCUGCGGCCUUUGCUUCUCUCCUUUCCUGCAUCAUUUAACAUUUCAAAGUCAAACUCUCUUUUUCAAAUCAUUGUUAUUUGUUUUUUAAAGUAGUUAAUUCUGAGUACUAACCUUUAGUGCCAUCUCCAUGCAGCUUGAGGAGACAUCCACCAUGGCUUCUUUGAUCCGGAUGAGGAUAUUAAAGUCGAAAUGGAUAUUCUGGCUCUGAAACUUCUUGGCUUCGUCGUCUUUAGUUCGUUCCAUCGUGUCUAUUUUCCCUUUUAUCUGUGUAUUACCUUUUUUUAUUAGUUAUGGAAAAUGGAAAGAGACAAUUAAGUAAGUUUUUUAUAUAUAUAAGAAAUGAUAGUGAAGACAACUAAGUAAGGAGAGAUUAUAUUCACACACCCCAAAUUAUUUCUCCUACACUCUUUUAAUUUUUUUAAUAUUUUCUACACACCACUAACUCUUGAUAUAAAAAUAUUAAAAAAUUAAAAGAGCGUGGGGAAAGUAAUAGUAGUAAGUUUUUUAUAUAAGAAACGAUAGUGAAGACAAUUAAGUAAGAUUGUAUAAAUGAACAUUUGUGCACCUUAUCGAAGCAGCGUUCGGCCUUGUCAAGGAGCUGACCCAAUGGAACCACUAGUUUCCAGUUUUGUAGUUCAUUGAGCAUUGUAUUUAAAUUUGUGUGUAAUGCUGCUGCCAUCCUGAUUGCUUCCAACUUCUUUGUUGGGAACCCUUCAAACCGUGAGAGCACCUGCAAUUCAGAAAAUGGCGUGUCACAAAACACGAUUAUGAAGUGAUCAUAGAAUUAGAAUGGAAACGAACAAAAAUAAAGCGGACAAUUAAUGGUAUUGACCUGUGACUCAUCAGUCAAGUGUUCAAGGACGGAUUCGACUUUCUUGUGAAACUGCAUCAACUCAUUCAUGUCUUUUGUUUUGAAAGAACCAAGGGUGGUUCUCAUUUCCAUGAUAGGCUUCGCAUACUUCUGAACAUCUUCUUCAAUUUGUUGAAAGUAUGCUGAUCUGAGACACAAAAAUUAGAAACAUUAUAUGCAUGGUUUUCGCAUUAUUUUGAGUACUUAUUAGAAACAUUAUAUGCAUGGUUUUCGCAUUAUUUUGAGUACUUAGAUUACUUAUCCAUACUAUAAGGACCUCUUUGUAAUCUCUGCUAGAGCAUCAGCCAUUCCUUGUUUUCCACCAGAGCUGCUUCCAAUUCCACCCUUUCUCCCAUUGGAUGCCUUGCCAUCCAAGCUAGAUCCUUCCACCUUUCUCUUGAGAAGGCGGUAGAGACUACCCAUCUGAGGUGAUCUCUUCAGCUUAGUGUCUUUCUUGGGGCGCAAGGAUCUUCCUGUGCCGAGUGCGGGAGGUGGGGGUGGAGCAGCUCCAUUUGAUGGGCCUUUUUACAUGGGUGGUGGCGGUGGAGCACCUCCAUUUGAUGGCCCUUUUAACAUGGGUGGUGGGGGUGGAGGACUGCCAAUUGACGGUCCUGGUGGAGGUGGUGGUGCUGGAGCUCCAUUUGAUGAUCCUUGAGGAGGUGGGGGUAGGGGUGGAACCACUUUUGUUGACCUUGGUAUCACUGGUGUUGGUGGAGGGGUUAGAUUUACUGACACUGGCCCUGGUUCCAUUGGUUGAGGCGGUGGGGGUGGUGGCCCCCCAACUGCUGCUACAUUAUGUGGGGUUCAUGUUGGUGGUGGUGGAGGAGUUGCUGCAAUUUGUGGCUGCAUGGCGGGUAGUGAUGGUGAUGGCGGCAGUGGUGUUGCAACAUUUAGCUUCAAAGUGUGUAGUGGUGGUGGUGGAGGGAAUGUUGGUAUUCUUGUUGCUGCUUCUGUAUUGGGCAGUGAAAGUUGUUGCGUUGUUGGAGGUGGAGGUGGAGGUGGAGGUGGAGGCAGAGGCGCUGAUUUUGGUUGUGGAAGUGUAGGUGAGGGUGAAAGCAAUGAUACUCUGGUGUCUGCUUCCAAUGUUUCAGAGGCUGUGGUUGGAGUUUCAACAUCAUCACUUGUGUUGUCGAUACCCUUUCCACAAGACUUCUCAUUCAAACUAAGAUUUGGGGCUACUACUUCCUCAUCUGUUGCUGCAAUUGUCUUUUGAGUGGUUCUCUCUAAUUCUGUCCCAAUUGAUGGUUCUUCAAACAAAUUUUCAAUCUUGUCCAGACCAUUGUUGGUGCCAUGAGCUCCUUGUUUUGAUAAGUGAAGAGACAAGUUCUUAACAUCAAUCAGAUUUAGCUUCCCAACUGCUUGCACUCUCAGAGUCCAAAGCAAUGGUGAUUUGGAACCAAUGUUGGCUCUCUUUUGUGCUCUUGGAGAACCAUCAAUCUCGGGUAGGACAGAAGAUGGAGUGAUCGGAGAAGAACAGGUGGAACCUGAGGCGUAGCUCUCUGAAUCGCUCAAGAACUUCCCAAAUGAGCUAUUCCGAAGGCUGUAAUCUUCUCUUUUCUGGUCAUCCUCAUCCAUCAUAUCAAACUUGUCCCGUGCCAUCUUCAUCAAGCAAUCAAGCGUUUCCAGCACCGUCUCAACUACAAAAUCGUAGAGAGAACCAGCCUUAACUCAAAAUUUCACAGAAGGAAAUAACAGUUAGGUUGUUGCUUCCAUUUCCAAAUGGAAGGCCUCAACUAGUCCUAGAGAAAAAUUUGUAGCAUACCGAGUUCAUCCUGAUUGACAUUCUCCUUGAGUGAUGGGAAAUCAUAUCUCGGUUUGUCCAACCUGUCAUAACUUGUCAUCCAAGACUCUCCAAUAGAUUUCAAUGCCUUGCAGAAGGAGGCAGGACCUGAAUGCCGUUGUUUAAUUUGAAAAAUUAGCAUAAUGGUCUCGAGUAUAAUUACAUAUGCGUACUAAGCUAUUUCUUAUGGAUCUUAAAUCCUUAAUUACCUUUUUUGUUCCAAAAAAAAUAAAAUUCCUUAUUUACCUUUUCUAUAGAUGCUUCCUCUAUUUCCGAUAAUUGUUUAUGCAGCACAAUUUCAGGGAAAAGCUUCUGUAGAUCUCCCAUCAACCUCAUUACCAUCUGCAAGCAGAAAAUAAUUGGAAAAUUAAAAAAAUUGUGUUUUAAUCCAGAAAUUUAAGCACAAGAUUUCAACAGAAAAAAGAGAAAUUUUAUUAGCAAUCCAAAAAAUUCAUUUUGCACUCCAUUUUUUAAUCUUCAUUAGGGAAAAGUACUAUAACAUUUUUAGAGUUCCUAUAAAAAAUAAAAAAAGGGACACAUACCUCAGUUAUUGCAGCAGAAGCAUCACAUGCUGGUAGGUCGAUGAUGUCUCUGAAGAUGGUGAUCUUCUUCCGGAGUUCGGUCAUCCGAAUCUCGUUGGCUGAAUCUCCGCAAGACCUAUCUUUUGGCACGCCUCUCCCAGAAGCGUUCUUCUGUUUCGCAGGCAGACUCUUAGCCCCCUUGGUGUCUUUCAUUGCCUGAAAGAACAACUCUAUUCAUGUUAAUUAACUAUUUUCUAGUCUAGACCUUAUUGUGAAUCGAUUCCUUUUCAGUGAUUAUUUAAUUUAUGAACCUUAAUCAAAGAUUUAUGGCUGCAUGCAACAAACUUAAUCUAGACAAGAAACAAUGCUGCCAUGUUUCCUUUUAUAUAGAUUAUUAGCAUGCCUAGAUGUAGAUGGUUAGUUUUUAUUAGCAGCUAGAUUUAAGGAUGAUGGGUCACAUAAAUCGGACAUGUUUAAGGAAUUAAACAUGGAAACACAAAACUGUACCUUAAUUCCAGAAGGUUUACGACGAAACAAUGGACUGAAACAGCUUCCGAUAGUCAUGGCUUGAACCUACGCUGAGAUUUGUAAUAGACUUGAACUGGGCAAAAGUGAUGGUGAUGAUGAUGAAAGAAUGACGAAGAAAACGACAACGACGAAGCCAAAGACGAUGGUGAUGAUGAUAAUAUUGUUAAAUGAUCAUACAAUUGGGUGUCAACCAUUACUAGCCAGCACACCCUUAAAGCUUAAUGUGGUUUUGAAAACAACUCCAGAAUGUAAAAAUUGUAAUGUGUUCAACAACAAGAAGAGAACUGUUCAAAAAAUUCAACUUAUUUGAAAAAGAAAAUGAGAUGAAGACACAAUUACGUGCGAGACACUUAGUUUUUUGUGUUAAUUAGUCUGUACAAGAAACUGGAAAAAUCCAUUUCUUUUCUUUCAGCCAGCCUUUGAACUUUCUCUGAAAAGAGAAGACAAGGAAAGACAAAAGGGCAAAUUCCCUUCUAUUAAGGAAGAUCUUCCAGUAGGCUGAAGCUGUAUCAGACCUAAAGUUUCCUCUUUUUUCUUUUUCCAUUUUUCUAUUUUAUUUUUAAUUAGGCGUUUUACUUAAUUAAUUAAUGAAUUACCUGUUUAGUUAUCUAAAUCGUGCAUGCAAUGAUUGCAGGAACUGGUCCUAGAUUUUUAUUGCUUGCAGCUAUUUAUAGAAUGAUACAGCUUCUCACUUGUGUAAGAUGAGGUUAUGGUUGCAAUACCGUUGUACCAGAAAAUUUUAAAUUUUCAAAUUUUAUCUUCUGUGUCGAUUAUCCAUUUAAACAAACUUGAUACCAUAAUAAACAAAUUGCAUUCUAAUCAAAAGUUUUGUUUGAAAAAGUCCAUAUUAUAAUAGUAACCCUACAUGAUUGAUGUUAAUGUCAUACCUAAAACUUUUUUCUAAUUUUACAGGAUGUAAAAAUAUAUAUUUUUUCGUUUAACUUUUCUAAGAGAGGUUUUUAAUUAAAAUAUUAUCUGAAAUAUCCAACACAUCUUACUAGGUCAAAAUAAAAAUAGAUAAAAGUCAAAUAAAUAGUAGCUAAGGUCUUGAUUACCUAUCACCUCCUGCAAAAUAGCUUGCUUAAAUGUAAAAUCUAAAAGUCUUGCUUACAUACAAAAGUUACUCCGUGACAGACAAAUACUACAAAAAGAUCACCCAAAAAACAUGGUGUUAUUAGUCAACGUUCAUACCUAAUACCCCAUUUGACGAUUAGAAAGUUGGAACCUGGACAAUUUCUAUCCGCUUCUUUUCACCAAAUUUGGGCAAUGAAGCCUUCAUAUACUAGGUCGUUUGCCUUGGUCAAACUGAGAGUCCCUGGUAGCCUGGGCAAUGAAGCCUUCAUAUGCUAGGUCGUUUGCCUUGGUCAAACUGAGAGUCCCUGGUAGCCUGGGCAAUGAAGCCUUCAUAUACUAGGUCGUUUGCCUUGGUCAAACUGAUAGUCCCUGGUAGCCUUUGCAAAGGAAGAUGAUAUUGUAAUUUCACCAUAUAUAAAGAGGGCCAAGUUUGUUCGUGUAGUUUGUAUAGAGUGUAGCUAUAAACACUUCAACCUAUUUGGUGAAAAAUCCAAGUGCGACCUUGGACUGCAUGGACAAGGGAAAUUCUAAAGUCCAAUUAGGGUUAUAUUUUCUUUGAGUUACGUAAUUAGGAAGACACUCACGUAGAAAUACUUGAAUUUAGAUGGCAACAACAUUCAAUAUAUGGAGAAGAAUAUAUAGACAUUGUGCAUCAGCCUAUCGUAUGGCAACAACAUUCAAUAUAUGGACAAAAAUGUUGAAGGGCAAAGUUGAAAUAACAAAAACGAAGCAAGGGCAUUUGGUCCGCACACUGCCCUAGAACAGUGGCACACGAGUUUGUAAUUUUAGUGGUGUUUACUCUGAAUCAAUACUUACCACGUGAUUAGAAAGUGAUUUGUUCAUCUAAUAUAAACUUGUCACAUGAUAAAAUAAUUGUACGAAAGAAUCCCUCUUUUCAUCGAGACCGGAAUUAUUGAAUUAUGAUAGGAAAAUUCUACGCAUGCUUUGAAACACAUCAAUCAGUCUAUAUUAUUAACCACAUAUUUCUUCAUCGAUGGAGAAAUUAUACGUAGCAUGCUUUUCACGACUACGUUAUCUUUAACAUUCGUAAACAAAACAGAGGUCUAGAUUCACAGACUCGAUGCCUACCUAUUAUUUUUCAUUGAUUAUUGGUCAUACUACUAGCUGACUAGGAAGAUCGACUCUCCCUUACUGUUAUUAAAAUUUCGAAAUUUUCUAAUUCUCAUUUGUUUUUGUUGCAUAAGGUUUUUUUUUUUUUUUGGUUAAUUGUUGCAUAAGUAAUUUGGCAUGUAUUUUUUAACAAUGUUGGAUGAGAAAUCUAAUGGUUUAAGAAUUAUAAAUAAGAAAUUAAAAAACAUUUGUGACAUUAAAAAAAAGUAUUUCUUUGUAAUUUUAGUGGUGUUUACUUUGAAUCAAUACUUACCACGUGAUUAGAAAGUGAUUUAUUUAUCUAAUAUAAACUUGUCACAUGAUAAAAUAAUGGAGAAAUUAGGUUCUCAUCCCUCUUUUGACUACUUCAUUGAUUAAAAUCUUAUUCCUUUUCAAUUUUUGAUCAAGGUCUUUGGGUAUUAAUAACAUCAUUAAUUAUUUCAAUAAUAAAAUAUUUUUUUUUAUUUCUAAAUAUAUUCAUUUAAUGUUAAAAAUGUUACAAUUAGUAUAUUUAUAUUUAUGACUAAGUUUUUUUAUCAGAUAUUUUUAGUUUUAGUUUGUACCCAUUUUUAAUUUGUAAUUCUUUUUUAAUUUGUACCAAUUUUCUUUUUAGUUUUAAUUUGUACCCAUAUAUUAAUUUCUUUUUGUGCCCAUAUUUUUUAAAGUUUAUUUGUAUUUGUACCCAUAUUUUUUUUUAUUUGUACUUUUUAUUUUGCUAAAUGUACUCGUGCUAAUUAUAUGCACCCAUUCAUAUAAAACUUUUAAAUCUAAAAAUGUACUCAUUCUUAAAUAUAUCAAUUUGUUAUAUGUAAAAUGUACCUUUUUUUUAUAUAAAAUCUAUUCAAUUUUUUUUAAUCCAUUUUUAAACUUAUAUGGGUACAUUAAUUCUUUUUUCUUUGAUUUUAAAAUGUAUCCAUGUCAAGUUUAAUCUAAGAAAUUUACUAAUGUUAUUAAGCCUAAUAUCUUCUCCUUCUUCUUUUUUUUUUUGUGAUUUUGAAGAAUGUACCCAUGUUUUGAUACAAUAAUUUUUUUGGAUAAUUUUGAUGAAUGUACCCAUGUUUAUAUAUACACACACACACACAAUAGUAUAUUUAUAUUUUAAUAUUUUUAAUCCCACAAAUUAUGGUUUUAUAUUUAAAAUCUCAUUUAUAUAAACCACUAAAUUUUCUAAUUUUUAAUUUAAAAAAUAUAGUAACGUACAUAGAAAUAAAUUAUCACAUUAAUUUCAGGGACGUCGAUCAAAAAUUAAAAACCAACAAGGUUUUAAUAAAAGAAUAUUCAUAGUUAAGGACCAUAUCCAAAGUUUCCCUAAAAUAAUUGUACAAAAGAAUCUCUCUUUUCAUCGAGACCGGAAUUAUUGAAUUUAUGAUAGGAAAAUUCUACCAUGCUUUGAAACACAUCAAUCAAUCUAUACUAUUAACCACAUAUUUCUUCAUCGAUGGGGAAAUUCUACGUAGCAUGCUUUUCACAAUUACAUUAUCUUUAACAUUCGUAAACAAAACAGAGGUCUAGAUUCGCAGACUCGAUGCCUACCUAUUAUUUUUCAUCGAUUAUUGGUCAUACUACUAGUUGACUAGGAAGAUCGACUCUCCUUUACUGUUAUUAAAAUUUCAAAAUUUUCUAAUUCUCAUUUGUUUUUGUUGCAUAAGGUUUUUUUUUUUGGUUAAUUGUUGCAUAAGUAAUUUGGCAUGUAUUUUUUAACAAUGUUGGAUGAGAAAUCUAAUGGUUUAAGAAUUAUAAAUAAGAAAUUAAAAAACAUUUAGUGACAUUAAAUAAAGUAUUUAUUUAUAAAACUAUUAAAUUCCUCUUUUCACAUUUUCCUUACUUGUUGUGUGUCUACUGUCUACAACCCAUUCGACCUUGAACCUAAUUUAAUUGUGUAUCAAAUGGCAGGUUGGUGUUUUUUGUAAAAUCGUAUUUGUCUAUUUUUCUUUACUAUAAAAAAAAUGUCUUAAUAGUUUAGAUAUUUUUUUUUUAAAGGAAACGAUAAGAGAUUAAUUGAUUGAAAACGUCAUUACAUGGUUUGAAGUACAAGAAGCCCCAUUAAGGCAGCACACAUUGUUCUAAUAGUAAGUCAGAAAUGAACAAAGGAGGAGACUCAGCACAUUCACACUCCUGGCUCAAAGAGAGACAAAACGUGCUAGCCUAUGGACAAUAGAGUUAGCUUGACGGUGAGUAUGGUAAGAAUAGCAUCAGUGCUUGAUGGGAGUAGCACCUUGAUAUCUGUCAUAAUUUGUUCAACUGAGAAUAGAUUGAUAGACGAUACGAUGUGGGUGGCAAAGUGUGUGUCAAAAAAUGGAUGUCCCAAGAUGCUAACGAUAUGACACACACUUUGUAGGGCUCAUUCCAUAACAUUUUUAAGAAUUUGAAUCAUCUAUAUUUCAAUUCAUCAUUCAUAUAUGUCCUUGCCAAAAAUUAAAAAGAUCCAAAAUCAUUAAAACAUUAAUUUGUAAGGAAGAAAAUACAGAUGGGCGUCACAACCCCCCCCCCCUCGUUGGUUCUUGUUCUGGCUCGAGAUGGGUUUCCUUGCCCCCUUGUAAUUAGGUUUUUUUUUUUUUUUUUGGAUGGCUUUGCGCCAUCCUUUUGUGCCUUUUGAGGCUUGAUUGUGAUUUCCUAUUUCUUCUGAGAGUUUAAAUGUAUUAAGUCCUUGAACAUAGGAUAUCAUGGUCUAUGUUUAGUUAUGUUUCUUGGAGUACUUGUUCUGUUUUAAUACAAUGACCUCUUUCUGAAUUAAAAAAAAAAAAAAAUUGACUUUGCCAAUUUUUCCCCAAUCAAACAUUUAACACACUUAACUGGCCUUCUACCAUAGUGAUGAAAGAAGUGUUACCUUUACACUACUACAUGAGUUCGAAUUCCGUUGGCUCUCUUAUUUAAUAAAUCUAUCUUUUGAUAUAUAAAAAAAUAAAAAAACUCAAAAUGCAAAUGAGUUGUGCAUCAUAGUAUUAGAUAAUGUUGUAUAAUUCAACAGACAACUGUUUUUUUUUUUUUGUUAUGAAAAAGCAAUAGAGAAUUAGGUAAAUACGAUGUAAAACAUUUCUACUCAAGAGGCAGAUUGUCUGCCCCUUGUUUGGAUGCCCUUUUUAUUCCCUCAUAUUUUAUGCGGUCACAGUUAAUACACGUCAAUAUUUUAUAUUAAUUUUUUUAUAGAGAUAAUAAGAUAAAAAACAAUAAGAAUAUAUAAUAUUGACAUAACUUACUGUUUAACCAUGACCGCACAAAUAAAAAAGGAUGGGUAGAGCAUCCAAAUAGGAAGACAGACAAUCUGCUUCUUUCUACUCAUCUUCUAAGUGUCAUGUCAUAUAAUGGCAUGUGAUAAAUGCAUGACCCACCACAUGAAUAAAUAGUCCUCAAAACACGGCACGUGGAAAUGAUUUAGCUAGUGACCACCAAGAUUAUAUUCUUCUGGCAAAAUGCGACAUGUUUAUAUUUUUCUGGCAAAACAACAUGAUAUUGAUGUGCCUUUGGCUUCUCUAUUGUUGGCUUCUCUAUUGUUGGCGUCUAGUGUAGAAUGAUUAAAAAAAUUAAAUCUAAAGAAUAAUUUUUUUCGAUGUCUUAACCUCAAUCUUCUUUUCUUACCAAUUAAUCAAGAAAAAUGCUAAGGACCUAUCUCAAAAGUAGAACUUUGGAAUUCUUUGUUGAUUCUUAUUUUUUAUAAAAUAUUUUAUUAUAUUCUUACAAGAAUUGAGAUGACAAAAAGUUCAUGAAGAGUCGUACUUUUGAAAUAAUCACUUGACAUUUCCUUUUAUACAAACAUGACUACAUGAGUUAAUUAAUAACUAAUUUAAUUUCAUGUUUUUCAUAACUAAUAAUUUUUAUGUACCCAUAUAUAUAUAUAAUGUAUUUGUUUACUAACUAGCCCAAAAAUAUGAUUGUCCCUUGAAAAAAAAAAAUAAUAUUUUAUUUGAUGUAUGAUGAAUGUAUUCGAACUCGUAAUCUUUUUCCAAAUCUCUUCUAACAUUUAUCAACUCACUUAAAACUCGAUCUCUACUAUAAUUGUCGAUACAAAUUUCCGCCGUUUUUAAUCUUGACGAAAAUGCACCUGCAAAACAAUCAACUUUUUUGAUCAAAGACCUAAGCCUCAUGCGCCCACGAGGUGGGGGGGGGGGUUUAGGUCAACGGAUCUCCGACGCCUAAGUUAGUUUAUCUGAGAGUAAAGUGUUUAAGGCUUUUUAGGGUUGCAAAAGCUCUCUAAGUUUGGUAGAAUAUGGGGUAUUUAUAGCGCUAGGGUAGGCCAUAUAGGGUUUAAUGGAGAAAUAUUCUCUAAAUAUUCCCAAGAUAUUUAAUAGGAUUACUUACUUGAUAGGAGUCAAUCUUCAAUUAGGAAUGUAUUAAAGAUAGGAUUUGGGUAAUUAAUCCUUAUCUUUAAUUCCUUACCAUGGGCAGUUGUGCUCAGUUGCUGAGUCCUUCAGGGAUGUGAGCUGCACGUGGGAGAAUAUGAGAAGUUUGCUCAUUUAUUGAGGACCAUUUUGUCCUUUUUGAAUUAAACAUUUAACACACUUAACUGGCCUUCUACCAUAGUGAUGAAAGAAGUGUUAGCUUUAUAUACUACUACAUGAGUUCGAAUUCCGUUGGCUCUCUUAUUUAAUAAAUCUAUCUUUCUUUUGAUAAAAAAAUAAAAUAAUAAAAAAAUAAAAAAUAAAAAUAAAAAAACUCAAAAUACAAAUGAGCUGUGCAUCAUAGUAUAUUAGAUAAUGUUGUAUAAUAUAAUUCAACAGACAACUGUUUUUUUUUUUUUUUUUUUUUUAUAAAAAAGCAAUAGAGAAUUAGGUAAAUACGAUGUAAAAACAUUUCUACUCAAGAGGCAGAUUGUCUGCCCCCUGUUUGGAUGCCCUUUUUAUUCCCUUAUAUUUUAUGCGGUCACAGUUAAUACACGUCAACAUUUUAUAUUAAUUUUUUUUUAUAAAGAUAAUAAGAUAAAAACAUAAAUAAAGAAUAUAUAAUAUUGACAUAGCUUACUGUUUAACCAUGACAGCACAUAUAAAAAAAGAUGGGUAGAGCAUCCAAAUAGGAAGACAGACAAUCUGCUUCUUUCUACUCAUCUUCUAAGUGUCAUGUCAUAUAAUGGCAUGUGAUAAAUGCAUGACCCACCACAUGAAUAAAUAGUCCUCAAAACACGGCACGUGGAAAUGAUUUAGCUAGUGACCACCAAGAUUAUAUUCUUCUGGCAAAAUGCGACAUGUUUAUAUUUUUCUGGCAAAACAACAUGAUAUUGAUGUGCCUUUGGCUUCUCUAUUGUUGGCUUCUCUAUUGUUGGCGUCUAGUGUAGAAUGAUUAAAAAAAGUAAAUCUAAAGAAUAAUUUUUUUCGACGUCUUAACCUCAAUCUUCUUUUCUUACCAAUUAAUCAAAAAAUGCUAAGGACCUAUCUCAAAAAGUAGAACUUUGGAAUUCUUUGUUGAUUCUUAUUUUUUAUAAAAUAUUUUAUUAUAUUCUUACAAGAAUUGAGAUGACAAAAAGUUCAUGAAGAGUCGUACUUUUGAAAUAAUCACUUGACAUUUCCUUUUAUACAAACAUGACUACAUGAGUUAAUUAAUAACUAAUUUAAUUUCAUGUUUUUCAUAACUAAUAAUUUUUAUGUACCCAUAUAUAUAAUGUAUUUUUUUACUAACUAGCCCAAAAAUAUGAUUGUCCCUUGAAAAAAAAAAUUAAUAUUUUAUUUGAUGUAUGAUGAAUGUAUUCGAACUCGUAAUCUUUUUCCAAAUCUCUUCUAACAUUUAUCAACUCACUUAAAACUCCAUCUCUACUAUAAUUGUCGAUACAAAUUUCCGCCGUCUUUAAUCUUGACGAAAAUGCACCUGCAAAACAAUCAACUUUUUUGAUCAAAGACCUAAGCCUCAUGCGCCCACGAGGUGGGGGGGGGGUUUAGGUCAACGGAUCUUCGACGCCUAAGUUAGUUUAUCUGAGAGUAAAGUGUUUAAGUCUUUUUAGGGUUGCAAAAGCUCUCUAAGAUUGGUAGAAUAUGGGGUAUUUAUAGCGCUAGGGUAGGCCAUAUAGGGUUUAAUGGAGAAAUAUUCUCUAAAUAUUCCCAAGAUAUUUAAUAGGAUUACUUACUUGAUAGGAGUCAAUCUUCAAUUAGGAAUGUAUUAAAGAUAGGAUUUGGGUAAUUAAUCUUUAUCUUUAAUUCCUUACCAUGGGCAGUUGUGCUCAGUUGCUGAGUCCUUCAAGCAGUGGCGAAGCCACGUGAGGGCGAGGAGUGGCGACCGCCACUCCCCUCGCCGGAAAACACAGCCCCAGCGUUGGUUUAGCUCCUCCCCUCCCGCUCGAAAACCCAGCCCCUCCGCAGCUCCGCUUCCUGUCUCUCUUCCUUCGAACUUGUUCUGCUACACAACAGCAGAAAAGAACCGUUCUGUUUUGUUUUAAUCGGAGCAGAAAUUCAAAUCACUGAGAUUUUAAAUUUUUGAGUGAUACAAAAAUUUAAUCGAGAUUUUCCCAAAAAAGUGACGGAAAAUCCUAAUUUUCUGUUUUGGUUGGCAUUUUAAAAGAUUUUCCGGGAAAGUGUGUAUUUAUAUGGCACUGUCAGAGUGCGUAAGUUGGACUGGGGUGUGACUGCUUUGGUAGGUAAGAGCAAUUCCACUCCUAAGGACUUUGCGCCAGCACCCAGCGCAUUUAUCCACUCAAAUGAACAGUAACAGACUCCAAUGAACAGUAAUAGGCCAAGGCAUCUCCACCCCUAAAAAAAUGCGCUGGCACCUAGUGAAAAAAUGCGCUGGCACAAACGAUCUUCAUCCUUACAAAAUGCGCUGGCACCCAGCCCAUUUAAGAUAUUUUUAAAUUUUGUCUAAAAGAAUAAAAAAAUAAAAUAGUUUUAAUUUCGGAUAGGAUUUUUAACCAAUCUCGUCACGCCACAUGUCAUUAUCUGAACGUACUAUUUUGUGAAUAGAUUUCCGCUAAGAUUUUCAACCAAUCUCGACACGUCACGUGUCACUUCCGUUUUACAAUAAUUUAGCCAAGAUUUCGAUAAGAUUUUCAACCAAUCACGUCAUGCCACUUGUCAUUAUCUGAACGUACUAUUUUGUGGAUAGAUUUCCGAUAAUAUUUUCGACCAAUCCCGACAUGCCACGUGUCACUUCCGGUUUACAAUAAUUUAGCCAAGAUUUCGAUAAGAUUUUCAACCAAUCACGUAGUGCCACGUGGCAUUGUCCAGAACCUCAUCCUUUCUUUUUUUGUCCAUAUAAACCCUACAUCCCUACAUCCAUCCUCACACCAAGCUCAAUCAUUCUUUUUAGCUCAGAAUCCUUGUUCAUCGUUUUCAAAUCUUAAGUUCUUAUUAUCGUUUUCAAAUCUUAAGUUCUUAUUACAAUGUCUUCUUCAAGAAGGGUGUAUAAACAGUUGCAGGAGCAACAACAAAGGUUGUUGGCACAACAGGCAGAAUUGGCCAAUCUCGAGGAAGGUGGAAGUGGAGGUGGAGAUGAGGCUUUCUUCAUGGAGGAGGAUGAGGAUGAUCACCAUAGAAGGCAGAAGGCCUCACAUUCCCGCCUUGUCAUGGAAGUCGUGGGUCAGAUAGCCAAACCAAGACGUGUUGCAAACCUCGAUAGAAAAAGGGAAAAACGAGGUAAAAAUCUAUUGGAAGAUUAUUUUAUUCCCAAUAGCAUAUUCCCUGAUCAUAUUUUUAGACGGCGUUUUAGAAUGCAACGAAAUUUGUUCAACAAAAUCAUGAGUGAUAUUUGCAACCAUGAUUCAUACUUUGUGCAAAAAGAGGAUGCUUUUCAUGUUCUAGGUCUUAUUCCCGAGCAAAAAAUUACGGCAUCCUUGCGAAUGCUUGCAUAUGGAGCAUCUGCAGAUCAAGUGGAUGAGAUCGCGAGGAUGGGAAAAACAACUGUUUUGGAGUCCCUGAUGCGUUUUUGCUCUGCAAUUGAAGCCCUCUACACCAAAGAGUACCUCCAGACACCCACGCCAAGGGACAUGCGAAGGCUUCUGAGGAAGGGUGAGAUGCGAGGCUUCCCUGGCAUGAUUGGAAGCAUGGACUGCAUGCAUUGGACUUGGAAAAACUGUCCAAGUGCGUGGCAAGGAGCAUAUGGCAACAGAAAAUGAGCCAAAAGCAUCAUUUUGGAAGCGGUGGCUUCAUUUGAUACAUGGAUUUGGCAUGCUUUUUUUGGUGUUCCAGGAGCUCAGAAUGACUUAAAUGUCCUUGCCCAAUCCCCAAUGUUCGACGAACUGCUGCAAGGAAACUCGCCGAGAUGCACAUAUACCAUUAAUGGUACCCAAUACGAGGGAUCAUACUACCUUGCAUAUGGCAUUUACCCAAGGUGGUCAACAUUUGUCAAAACAGUGCCACAUCCACAGACUGAAAAGGAAAAACACUUUGCAAAAUGUCAAGAAGGGUGUAGGAAGGAUGUCGAGCGUUGUUUUGGUAUCCUACAAGCUCGUUGGGCGAUUAUUAGGGCUGCAGCUAGAAUGUUUGAUGUCGAGGCUCUUCGAUCCAUCAUGAUGACGUGUAUUAUUCUCCACAACAUGAUUGUUGAAGAUGAGUAUGAUUAUGAUGGCGUCGAUGAAUAUGAGCCGGAUCCGAUGAACAACUCAAGAACACGUAUCUAUUGUGCUCAUGAUGGGACCGAAGAUCCAGUGCAACACGAGCCGUUGGAACGCGAUGGACGUUACAAUGAAUUGAUCGUUCAACGUUACACUAAUGUGCAAGAGCCAUACUGGCACGUAACCCGCCAGAAUGACUUGAUUGAGCACCAGUGGGGAUUGCAUGAAGGCGAAGAUAAUUAGAAUGAGGCUUGUGGUUGAAGAAUAAAUUGUAUUUUUUUUUUAAGUUUAUGUAAUUCUAUGUAGUGUGUUUUGUUUUUAAGUUUAUUUAGUGAGUUUAUGUAAUUCUAUGUAUUUGGUGAGUUUAUGUAAUUCUAUGUAGUGUGUUUUGUUUUUAAGUUUAUUUGGUGAGUUUAUGUAAUUCUAUUUAUUUGGUGAGUUUGUGUAAUUCUAUGUAGUGUGUUUUGUUUUUAAAUUUAUUUGGUGAGUUUAUGUAAUCUUAUUUCAUGUGUUUAAAUAAAGUACAAAAGAAAUAAAGUUUUAAAAAUAAAUAAAGAAUUACAUUAAAAUUGCAUAAUAAAUUAAAUAAAAAUAAAUAAAGUUUUUAAAAUAAAUAAGGAAUAACAUAAAAAUUACAUAAGAAAUUAAAUAAAGUUCAAACCUAAAAAAAGAAAAAAACAUAAGAAAUUACAUAAGAAAUUAAAUAAAGUUCAAAAGAAAAAAGAAAGAAAAAACAUAAAAAAAACAUAAAAAUUAUACAAAGUCUCUCGAGUUAGGAUAUGUGGUGCGAGGAUCUUGGUUGUCACAAAAGUUGCUAGAACCCCCUUGACUUGUUUCCGCAUCUCUUGCACGCCUCCUUCGCAUGGCAUCUCUUUUUUUCCGAAGUCCAAAAAAUAUUUAGAAUUCGGAGACAGUCCUACUAGAGACUUGCUCAUAGUGUCACGAUCUGCUUGAGCCAUCCUUUCUUCUCGAAGCAAUUCAUUUUCUCGAUAAAGUGCUUCUCUAACCAGCUCGUUCUCUCUCGAUUAACUACUUCUCUUUGUCUCUCAGCCGCCGCAUCACGGGCCUCAGUAGCUGCUAAUAUUGCUGCCAUAACAGCAACUUUUUCCUCAUCUCUAACCUUUUCUCGUGCCAUGUUCAGUUCACCUUGGCGAGUAAGUUCCUCCAUAUAUUUAGUGUAGUCAUUCUUGGAAGAACUACCUUUUUUCUUUGACGCCUUUUUACCUACGGGCCUGAGGGACUGACGAAUCGGUUGGGUCUCGGGCACUUGUUCAGGCAUCCCUUCUGUGUCUUGAAAUGUGUCGGCUUCUUGUUCGGCCAUGUCUGGUUCUGGAGAACUAUGUAGACCCAUACCGUGCAUGACAACUUCUGGACCAGUUGCCACAAUUUUGUAUUUAGGACAAUCUUUGACAAUUUGCCAACAUUCCCAUCUAGUGAAUGAUUUGUUCCCGUUCUUUGAAUUGUAGAAUGCUUGAGCUUGUAGUGUCUAUAAAAAUGUGGGAUAACAUAGUGUUAAAAAAUGCGGGUGUAACACAAAUAAAUAAAUUCAAAAUAUUAAUACGGGUGGAAUGCAUAUAAAUUACAUAAAAAUGACAUAAGAAAUUAAAUAAAAAUGACAUAAGAAAUUAAAUAAAAAUUACAUAAAAAUUAUAUAAGAAAUAAGAUAAAAAUUACAUACGAAAUUAAGUAAAUCAAAAUAUUAAUGUGAGUGGAAUGCAUAUAAAUUACAUAAAAAUGACAUAAGAAAUUAAAUAAAAAUGACAUAAGAAAUUAAAUAAAAAUUACAUAAAAAUUACAUAAGAAAUAAGAUAAAAAUUACAUACGAAAUUAAAUAAAUCAAAAUAUUAAUGUGAGUGGAAUGCAUAUAAAUAAAUAAAAAUAUUGUCACCUGAUCCGCUAAACUUGUCCCACUACGGAGGUUACCGGAAGCAUGAGAGAUGGCGUUUUUCCAACAAGUAAAUGAUGCGUUGAGUUUUUUCCAACGACCUUGAAGACCUUGACUAGUUCUGGCGUUUUCUCCAUGUACAUCACAAAACGCUUUCGUAAUUUUACUCCACAUUUCUCGCUUUAUCCAUCUCAUUACCUGUAAUCGGAUCAUGAGUAGUGUGAACCCAACAUUCACACAACGUAACAUCUUCAAUGAGCUUCCACGAAGACAUUUUUUUCUCUUAAAGUGUAGAAAAUAUUGAAAUGUAGAUAGUAUAGAAAGUGUAGAAAAUAUUGGAAUGUGGCGUAAAGGUAGAAGAUGAGGGUUAGGUAUUUUAUAGGAAAAAAAUUAACAUUUUUCAAAAAUUUUCUGUAAUUUUUUUAAAAUUUUCUGUAUUUUUUAAUAAUUUUUCUGUAUUUUUUAAUAAUUUUUAAUGAAUUUUAAUAUAGUUAAUUAAUCUGGACCGUUGGAUUUGAAAAAUAUUCAAAUCCAAGAGCUAGGGAGUUGCCACGUGGCCAACGGUCAUAUUUCUGACCGUUGGGCCCUUUUUUUAUUUAUUUAUUUACUUUUUGUGAAAAAAACGUGGACCGUUGAUCUUUGAUCCGACGGCCUAGUUUAAAAGUAAAAUUUAAAAUUUUUUUACCGUUGGAAAUCCAACGGUCUAGAAAACUAGCCGUUGGAAAUCCAACGGCAGAGAGAGAGCCACGUCGCAAACUCGGGGGGUGGAACUGACAGCACCUGCACGCGGGCCUGAGCUCUGAAAGCUUGUCGGGCACUCGCGCCACGGCUGCGUGAAGCGCACGCGCCAUGCUUCCUCCCCGGUUUCUGUCUCAGUCUCUUUUGGGCUGGGCUCUUGCCCAGCUCGGGCUGGGUACCAGUCAAUUUGUUGGGGUGGACUUGAUUGACUGAGGCCUGGCUUGGUUUUUGGACUGAAGGCUGGGACAUUUGGUCCCCGCUGGAAUUGCUCUAAGCGGAAGGGCUUUGGUGAUGGACGGUGGUGACGUGGAGCCGGUGGAUAGGACGGGUGACUGGGAAAUGCUGGUUUAGGUAGUGCGGAUCCUGCGUGGAAAGUUGUUAUUGGAUGGUGCGAGUCAUUAGGUUGUGUCCUCGUGUGCCACCAUCGAUUUGGAAAUUGGUAGACAUGUAGGGUGGUAAGAUACCACUCUUAUCCUUGACAUAAAUGCAUACGUGGAGUAAGCUUAAGGCAUGGUAGAGUAAUUAUCCACUAUAACGCAAAGCACCAAAUCAUCACUUUUUAUGUCUUUAUUCGAAUUUUUUCAAAAGAACCUAUCCUUUUUCCGGGGAUCCUGAAAAUUCCGUGAUCGUGAUCAUUCAUCGUAUAUCGUGCGAUCAGUUUUCGCUAGUUACUAUUUAUAUUUAAUUUUAAAUUUUAAAUUUUAAAUGAUUUUUGACUGCACAAUAUACGAUGAACGAUCACGAUCACAGAAUCCUCAGAAUUCCCGAAAAAAGGAUCCGACGAGAAUCAUUUUCCAUUUUUAAAUGACAAGUUUCACAUCAAUUUAUUUAUUCACCCAUUAGUUUAAAUGACAAAGUGAAUUUUUGCUUCGAACUGGCUCUCCCCCCCCCCCCCAAAAACUCAGCAGCCAACGAACGGAACGGAACGGAGCCAUCUCACAGGCUCACUCCAGCCGAGCUGCCGUUUACUCGCACACUCACUCUCAGUCUCACAUACUCACUUCAGAGAGGGGAUGAGGUCACUUGGUACGCAGACGGCGAUAAGAUUGUGAGGAAUGAGUAUAAUCCAGCUGCACCCUAUGCAUUUGGUAAUAUAUUAGUUAGUAUAUAUUGUUAUUUUGAAUUUGGAAAUUUUGAUGUGGAGUUAAUUUCGAUUUCGGUUAGUUUAUGGAAAAUGCAAAAGAAAAUGUGUUGGAAUUAAUCUGCAUUUAACGUAGUUACAGGGUUUUGAAAACUGAUUGGAUUUGGGGAUGGUUUUGUUGUGGCAGAUAGAGUUUUUGGACAGCAUGCCAAUUCGAUAGAGUUUCAGUAAAGCUCCGUUUGUGAGUUGUGCAGAAAAGGUUAUAAUGACCAAUGUUUACACUCUCUCUUUGAUUCCACACUAGGGGACUGGAUUUAAGCUUGCCUUCCAUGGCCCUGAAAAUAUUAAUAUCAAAUGAUUAGUGAGAAACUGCUUUUAUGGGGGGGCACCAUUGCGUGGAGAUCAAUGGUUGAGUGAUAGCAUGCUUAUUUACAUUGAGAAAGAUGUGUUUGUUUUUAUUGAUAAUGAGCCUAUUAUGCGACGUUUUCAUGACCUGAAACUUCGCCAGCAACAAUUGUAAUUUGUUUGUAUUGAUUAAUUAUGGAAGACAUUACUAUAUAAAAAGAUUUAGUUGUUGCCAUUUUUCUUUAACCUUGCAUUCUUUUAAGUUCGCUCCUCCCCCCGAGAAAUCCUGGCUUCGCCACUGCCUUCAAGGAUGUGAGCUGCACGUGGGAGAAUAUGAGAAGUUUGCUCAUUUAUUGAGGACCAUUUUGUCCUUUUUGAAUUAAACAUUUAACACACUUAACUGGCCUUCUACCAUAGUGAUGAAAGAAGUGUUACCUUUAUACUACUACAUGAGUUCGAAUUCCGUUGGCUCUCUUAUUUAAUAAAUCUAUCUUUUGAUAUAUAAAAAAAUAAAAAAUAAAAAUAAAAAAACUCAAAACACAAAUGAGCUGUGCAUCAUAGUAUUAGAUAAUGUUGUAUAAUUCAACAGACAACUGUUUUUUUUUUUUGUUAUGAAAAAGCAAUAGAGAAUUAGGUAAAUACGAUGUAAAACAAUUAUACUCAAGAGGCAGAUUGUCUGCCCCCUGUUUGGAUACCCUUUUUAUUCCCUUAUAUUUUAUGCGGUCACAGUUAAUACACGUCAACAUUUUAUAUUAAUUUUUUUAUAGAUAAUAAGAUAAAAAACAAUAAGAAUAUAUAAUAUUGACAUAGCUUACUGUUAACCAUGACCGCACAUAUAAAAAAAAGAUGGUUAGACCGUAGAGCAUCCAAAUAGGAAGACAGACAAUCUGCUUCUUUCUACUCAUCUUCUCAGUGUCAUGUCAUAUAAUGGCAUGUGAUAAAUGCAUGACCCACCACAUGAAUAAAUAGUCCUCAAAACACGGCACAUGGAAAUGAUUUAGCUAGUGACCACCAAGAUUAUAUUCUUCUGGCAAAAUGCGACAUGUUUAUAUUUUUCUGGCAAAACAACAUGAUACUGAUGUGCCUUUGGCUUCUCUAUUGUUGGCGUCUAGUGUGGAAAUGAAUUGUCACAUUCGUUUAUAGUUUCUAGAUAACUAGUAAUACCGUAUAUGCUUUUUUCUUUUGUUUUUUUUUUUUUGUUGGAAACUACCCUAUGUGCUUUUGGAGUAUUAUUAUUGGACAUUACACUUUGAGCAGCAAGAGUUUCUUGCAUUUUAGCUUUUUUUCAUGUGUCCAUUUUAUGUGCGGUAGUUGUUGAUUUUUGCGCUACGGGUUUGAAUCAUAUAAAUCUAUAAAUAAAGUUUAAAUUGCAAUGUUUGUAUGACAUUUAAAUUAGUCUGGACUUGUAGUUUAGAACUAAUGUUUCUAACAUGGUGUAUGAAACUUAAAUAUCCCAUAUAUUUUUUUCAUCCACUGUAUAAAAAAUGAAAAAUACAUGUGUUAAUCACUUAUACAAUACAUCCAAACGAGAAUAAGAAAAUUUCAGAAUUUGAAUAAAAAAUUAUGGGAGAGUCAAUAUGCACAUGAUUUUUGCUUUAGUACCGUGGGAUAAUAGCUUACCGUAAGCAAAAACACAAAAUAUAAAUUAUAAAUAUAAUAGAAGGAUAACUGGAAUCGCUCCAGGGGUCUCUCACCCGUACUUGACCUCUUACCAAAGAAUUUUGGCAUCUAUCCCAUCUCAGGGCUAGAAUUUUAAUCUCUGGAAGGCAAAGCUUUUCUAUUCAACUCUUCAUUGUUUGUUAAUCUGAAUUACAAGGGAUGUUUAUAAAGCCUAAAACCUAAUGACCGCAUGAAGGUAAACUUAUUAUAGUAAAGAAAUCCUAAUCCAAAAUAAAAUAGGACACUAUAUCUAAUCCUAAUUAAACUGGAAAGAAUUAUAGAGCUCGUUGGAAGUGAUUUUAAAAGCUGAAAAUGUUUUUGGUGAAAAUGAUUUUGGAACCAAUGCUUAGUAAAAAUGCAAAUAAAUUCCAAAAAAAAAACACUUAGUGUUUCCUUAAAAAAGCAUAUAACCGGUGGUUCCUAUAAUAAGCAUUUCAAGUGCUUUUGAAAUCCAAAAAUAUUUUAUCUAAAAACGUUUUUAAUCAUUUUAAAAGUACUUUGAAAUCAACCUUUAAUCCUUAUAAACUAAGUAAUCAUAAAACUACCCCCUAGAUAUUAAAAUACUAAGGACUAAAGACUAAAAAGGCUAAAAUACCCUUUAAUUUAGGAAGUCACCACUCUUGUUCCACGUGACUUAGCUAUUACUAAUUUACUAUCACCAGUAAUUGAUGAAAGAUAAUAUCAAAAUAGAGAGGCAUAAUAGAGUCAGCAAAUCUAGAACCUCUCUUUUUCAUGCAAAUUUUCCUCAUCGACGAAGAAAAAUGUGCUAUAUAUUUUUUAUUCAUGUGUUUCAAAAGUGGAUGGUCUCUUCAGUAAGGUGGUGAACUUAAAGAAAUUUGAGGUUGUAUUGUAAAAUUAAUUAGUAAAUAGAGAGUGGUUCAAUUCUUUAUAAGCUCUUGUAUGAUUUGAUUUCUCACCGAUGUGAGAUUUUGUCUUUACAUUCUUACACUAUUCUCGCACGUGGCAAAUUUUAAAACCUAACAUGCGGACAAUACAAAUUGGGUGACGUGGAACAUGUGUGGCCAUUAGACUUCACACGUGGGCUAAUAUGAAGAUUAGUCUAACUCUUCAUAAGCCCUUGCAUGAUUUGGUGAAUCACUGAUGUGAGACUUUGUUCUCACAUUCUCACACGCUUCAUCAUGUGUGACGAAUAUUCAAGCCUAACAUAUGAACAAUACAUAAAAUCUCAAUUUUCUACAAAGUAUCAGAGUUGGUUGAAUCAGAUGUUUAAUUAUUCUUUCGUAGUAUGAAGUCAAUUGAACUACAUGUUUGAUAUGUAAGGAUGUAAAUGUUGAUCCACAUCAAAAAGUUAAGAGACCGUUUACGAUUUUAAUUUGUCCUGAAAGAUGCAUUUCACCAUUUGAUGUAGCUCGUAUGGGAAGCCUAACUUUUUUCUUUCUCUCUUUUUUUUCUCGCAAUAUAGAUUGUUAACUUUUUCUUUUAAUUUGAGGGAUUCUCCUUGUCUUAAUGAUGUUGACAUCGGAGUGGUAUGGUUCAUGAAUCUUGACUAAGAAAACCCCUGCAUUCAUACACACAUUUUUAGUGUGCGGUCCCACCAAUUUCAACUAUAAAAACAUCACAAUCCCCUUUCCUUCUCAAUUGCAGAGUACAAGAAGCCCCAUUAAGGCAGCACACAUUGUUCUAAUUGUAAGUCAGAAAGGAACAAAGGAGGAGACUCAGCACAUUCACACUCCUGGCUCAAAGAGAGACAAAACGUGCUAGCCUAUGGACAAUAGAGUUAGCUUGACGGUGAGUAUGGUAAGAAUAGCAUCAAUGCUUGAUGGGAGUAGCACCUUGAUAUCUUUCAUAAUUUGUUCAACUGAGAAUAGAUUGAUAGACGAUACGAUGUGGGUUUGGCAAAGUGUGUGUCAAAAAAUGGAUGUCCCAAGAUGCUAAUGAUAUGACACACACUUUGUCGGGCUCAUUCCAUAACAUUUUCAAGAAUUUGAAUCAUCUAUAUUUCAAUUCAUCGUUCAUAUAUGUCCUUGCCAAAAAUUAAAAAGAUUCAAAAUCAUUAAAACAUUAAUUUGUAAGGAAGAAAAUACAGAUGGGCGUCACAAACCCUCCCCGCCCCCCGGUUGGUUCUUGUUCUGGCUCGAGAUGGGCUUCCUUGCCCCCUUGUAAUUAGGUUUUUUUUUUUAUUUUUCUGGAUGGCUUCGCGCCAUCCUUUUGUGCCUUUUGAGGCUUGAUUGUGAUUUCCUAUUUCUUCUGAGAGUUUAAAUGUAUUAAGUCCUUGAACGUAGGAUAUCAUGGUCUAUGUUUAGUUAUGUUUCUUGGAGUACUUGUUCUGUUUUAAUACAAUGACCUCUUUCUGAAUUAAAAAAAAAAAUUGACUUUGCCAAUUUUUCCCCAAUCAAACAUUUAACACACUUAACUGGCCUUCUACCAUAGUGAUGAAAGAAGUGUUACCUUUAUAUUACUACAUGAGUUCGAAUUCCGUUGGCUCUCUUAUUUAAUAAAUCUAUCUUUUGAUAUAUAAAAAAAUAAAAAAUAAAAAUAAAAAAACUCAAAACACAAAUGAGCUGUGCAUCAUAGUAUUAGAUAAUGUUGUAUAAUUCAACAGACAACUGUUUUUUUUUUUUUUUGUUAUGAAAAAGCAAUAGAGAAUUAGGUAAAUACGAUGUAAAACAUUUCUACUCAAGAGGCAGAUUGUCUGCCCCCUGUUUGGAUGCCCUUUUUAUUCCCUUAUAUUUUAUGCGGUCACAGUUAAUACACGUCAACAUUUUAUAUUAAUUUUUUUUAUAGAUAAUAAGAUAAAAAACAAUAAGAAUAUAUAAUAUUGACAUAGCUUACUGUUUAACCAUGACAGCACAUAUAAAAAAAGAUGGGUAGAGCAUCCAAAUAGGAAGACAGACAAUCUGCUUCUUUCUACUCAUCUUCUAAUUGUCAUGUCAUAUAAUGGCAUGUGAUAAAUGCAUGACCCACCACAUGAAUAAAUAGUCCUCAAAACACGGCACGUGGAAAUGAUUUAGCUAGUGACCACCAAGAUUAUAUUCUUCUGGCAAAAUGCGACAUGUUUAUAUUUUUCUGGCAAAACAACAUGAUAUUGAUGUGCCUUUGGCUUCUCUAUUGUUGGCUUCUCUAUUGUUGGCGUCUAGUGUAGAAUGAUUAAAAAAAAGUAAAUCUAAAGAAUAAUUUUUUUCGACGUCUUAACCUCAAUCUUCUUUUCUUACCAAUUAAUCAAGAAAAAUGCUAAGGACCUAUCUCAAAAGUAGAACUUUGGAAUUCUUUGUUGAUUCUUAUUUUUUAUAAAAUAUUUUAUUAUAUUCUUACAAGAAUUGAGAUGACAAAAAGUUCAUGAAGAGUUGUACUUUUGAAAUAAUCACUUGACAUUUCCUUUUAUACAAACAUGACUACAUGAGUUAAUUAAUAACUAAUUUAAUUUCAUGUUUUUCAUAACUAAUAAUUUUUAUGUACCCAUAUAUAUAAUGUAUUUGUUUACUAACUAGCCCAAAAAUAUGAUUGUCCCUUGAAAAAAAAGAAUUUAAUAUUUUAUUUGAUGUAUGAUGAAUGUAUUCGAACUCGUAAUCUUUUUCCAAAUCUCUUCUAACAUUUAUCAACUCACUUAAAACUCCAUCUCUACUAUAAUUGUCGAUACAAAUUUCCGCCGUCUUUAAUCUUGACGAAAAUGCACUUGCAAAACAAUCAACUUUUUUUAUCAAAGACCUAAGGCUCAUGCGCCCACGAGGUGGGGGGGGGGGUUUAGGUCAACGGAUCUUCGACGCCUAAGUUAGUUUAUCUGAGAGUAAAGUGUUUAAGGCUUUUUAGGGUUGCAAAAGCUCUCUAAGAUUGGUAGAAUAUGGGGUAUUUAUAGCGCUAGGGUAGGCCAUAUAUGGUUUAAUGGAGAAAUAUUCUCUAAAUAUUCCCAGGAUAUUUAAUAGGAUUACUUACUUGAUAGGAGUCAAUCUUCAAUUAGGAAUGUAUUAAAGAUAGGAUUUGGGUAAUUAAUCCUUAUCUUUAAUUCCUUACCAUGGGCAGUUGUGCUCAGUUGCUGAGUCAUUCAGGGAUGUGAGCUGCACGUGGGAGAAUAUGAGAAGUUUGCUCAUUUAUUGAGGACCAUUUUGUCCUUUUUGAAUUAAACAUUUAACACACUUAACUGGCCUUCUACCAUAGUGAUGAAAGAAGUGUUACCUUUAUACUACUACAUGAGUUCGAAUUCCGUUGGCUCUCUUAUUUAAUAAAUCUAUCUUUUGAUAUAUAAAAAAAUAAAAAAACUCAAAACACAAAUGAGCUGUGCAUCAUAGUAUUAGAUAAUGUUGUAUAAUUCAACAGACAACUGUUUUUUUUUUUUUUUUUUUUGUUAUGAAAAAGCAAUAGAGAAUUAGGUAAAUACGAUGUAAAACAUUUCUACUCAAGAGGCAGAUUGUCUGCCCCCUGUUUGGAUGCCCUUUUUAUUCCCUCAUAUUUUAUGCGGUCACAGUUAAUACACGUCAACAUUUUAUAUUAAUUUUUUUAUAGAUAAUAAGAUAAAAAACAAUAAGAAUAUAUAAUAUUGACAUAGCUUACUGUUUAACCAUGACCGCACAUAUAAAAAAAGAUGGGUAGAGCAUCCAAAUAGGAAGAUAGACAAUCUGCUUCUUUCUACUCAUCUUCUAAGUGUCAUGUCAUAUAAUGGCAUGUGAUAAAUGCAUGACCUGCCACAUGAAUAAAUAGUCCUCAAAACACGGCACGUGGAAAUGAUUUAGCUAGUGACCACCAAGAUUAUAUUCUUCUGGCAAAAUGCGACAUGUUUAUAUUUUUCUGGCAAAACAACAUAAUAUUGAUAUGCCUUUGGCUUCUCUAUUGUUGGCGUCUAGUGUGGAAAUGAAUUAUCACAUUCGUUUAUAGUUUCUAGAUAACUAGUAAUACCGUAUGUGCUUUUUUCUUCUUUUGUUUCAUUUUUUUUUUUUGGAUACUACCCUAUGUGCUUUUGGAGUAUUAUUAUUGGACAUUACUCUUUGAGCAGCAAGAGUUUCUUGCAUUUUAGCUUUUUUUCAUGUGUCCAUUUUAUGUGCGGUAGUUGUUAAUUUUUGCGCUACGGGUUUGAAUCAUAUAAAUCUAUAAAUAAAGUUUAAAUUGCAAUGUUUGUAUGACAUUUAAAUUAGUCUGGACUUGUAGUUUAGAAGUAAUGUUUCUAACAUGGUGUAUGAAACUUAAAUAUCCCAUAUAUAUUUUUCAUCCACUGUAUAAAAAAUGAAAAAUACAUGUGUUAAUCACUUAUACAAUACAUCCAAACGAGAAUAAGAAAAUUUCAGAAUUUGAAUAAAAAAUUAUGGGAGAGUCAAUAUGCACAUGAUUUUUGCUUGAGUACCGUGGGAUAAUAGCUUACCGUAAGCAAAAACACAAAAUAUAAAUUAUAAAUAUAAUAGAAGGAUAACUGGAAUCGCUCCAGGGGUCUCUCACCCGUACUUGACCUCUUACCAAAGAAUUUUGGCAUCUAUCCCAUCUCAGGGCUAGAAUUUUAAUCUCUGGAAGGCAAAGCUUUUCUAUUCAACUCUUCAUUGUUUGUUAAUCUGAAUUACAAGGGAUGCUUAUAAAGCCUAAAACCUAAUGACCGCGUGAAGGUAAACUUAUUAUAGUAAAGAAAUCCUAAUCCAAAAUAAAAUAGGACACUAUAUCUAAUCCUAAUUAAACUGGAAAGAAUUAUAGAGCUCGUUGGAAGUGAUUUUAAAAGCUGAAAGUUUUUUUGGUGAAAAUGAUUUUGGAACCAAUGCUUAGUAAAAAUGCAAGUAAAUUCUAAAAAAAAAACACUUAGUGUUUCCUUAAAAAAGCAUAUAACCGGUGGUUCCUAUAAUAAGCACUUCAAGUGCUUUUGAAAUCCAAAAAUAUUUUAUCUAAAAACGUUUUUAAUCAUUUUAAAAGUACUUUGAAAUCAACCUUUAAUCCUUAUAAACUAAGCAAUCAUAAAACUACCCCCUAGAUAUUAAAAUACUAAGGACUAGGGGUGAGUUUGGUACGGUUACCGUACCAAAACCUUUGUACCAAUUACCGUACCAAACUUUCGGUUUGGUAAAAUCUAUUACCAUUACCGUACCAAACUUUCGGUAUACCAAAGUUUGGUAUUGCCAAAAGUUCGGUUGGCAUGGUAUGGCAAUGGUAAUUGCCAUUUUGUUUUGGGACAAAAUCUGUUUUUGUUUUUUUUAACCCAAUUCAAGGGCAAAACUUUUUUUUUUGGUACCUUUAUCUCAUACAUUAUGGAUUAAAUUCAUCUAUUAUUCAUUAUUCACAAUUCACACACAUAAUAAUUCAAAUGAUGCAUCAAGAUUCAUCAUGAAAAUUAAGCUUACAAUCCAAAUAGAAGUCAACAAUCCAAAUAGAAAUUAAAGUUUCAAACCAAAUGAAAAUUGGAAGUAAACUUCAAAAAGGAGAAUUCAUUGAUUAGUUAUUCAAGCUUGAGAUGUCGAAGCUUUUGGAGGAGGCAUUGAAUUUGUAGAAGAUUGAGUUUGUGUCAAGCCUACAUUACAAACAAAGAAAACAUAUUAAUUAGUAGCAAGAAGAAUUAAAGUUGAAAACCAUUUAAUAACAAAUUUACUAAAAAAAUUAAAGCAUAUCUUUCUUGUUUUCUCUUCUUCCAUUUCCUUGUAAAAUUGAAGCAUAUCUUAUGUUGGUUCCUUGUGGAAGUUUACUUCAUCUGCCCUAAGCCAACCAUUAGUACGCACUAGUGCCUCCAUUAUUUUAGGAGUCAAGGAUACCCUAAAAGGGUCCACAACCCUCAUCCCUAGGCUAAAUGCAUUUUCACUAGCAACAUUAGAAGUGGGGGUUACAAAGAUAUUUUGGCUAUUUGUGAAAGAAUUAGGAACUCUUUUGUGUUUGAUUUCCACAAUUUUAAGAGACCAAUCAUCAAAGUCACCAACAACAAUGCUAAUGUGAGUAGAGUUUUAUUUUCAAAUUAUUGGAAUAUUAUAAAAUUGUGUUAUAUAAUUAUCUAUUAUAUAAUUUAUAAAUUAUAAAUUAUAUUGUAUUUUCGGUAUGGUACGGUAAUACUAUGGUAAUGAUAUCCAUUACCAAUACCAUACCAUGAAAUUUCGGUACGGUACAAUACCGUACCAUUACCGAUUGGUACAAAAAAUUUGGCACAAAAUCGGUAUGGCACGGUUGGCAAUUCGGUUGACACGGUAAUUUGGCAAAAAAAUCCACCCCUACUAAGGACUAAAGACUAAAAAGGCUAAAAUACCCUUUAAUUUAGGAAGUCACCACUCUUGUUCCACGUGACUUAGCUAUUACUAAUUUACUAUCACCAGUAAUUGAUGAAAGAUAAUAUCAAAAUAGAGAGGCAUAAUAGAGUCAGCAAAUCUAGAACCUCUCUUUUUCAUGCAAAUUUUCCUCAUCGACGAAGAAAAAUGUGCUAUAUAUUUUUUAUUCAUGUGUUUCAAAAGUGGAUGGUCUCUUCAGUAAGGUGGUGAACUUAAAGAAAUUUGAGGUUGUAUUGUAAAAUUAAUUAGUAAAUAGAGAGUGGUUCAAUUCUUUAUAAGCUCUUGUAUGAUUUGAUUUCUCACCGAUGUGAGACUUUGUCUUUACAUUCUUACACUAUUCUCGCACGUGGCAAAUUUUAAAACCUAACAUGUGGACAAUACAAAUUGGGUGACGUGAAACAUGGUUGGCCAUUGGACUUCACACGUGGGCUAAUAUGAAGAUUAGUCUAACUCUUCAUAAGCCCUUGCAUGAUUUGGUUAAUCACUGAUGUGGGACUUUGUUCUCACAUUCUCACACGCUCCAUCAUGUGUGGCGAAUAUUCAAGCCUAACAUAUGAACAAUACAUAAAAUCUCAAUUUUCUACAAAGUAUCAGAGUUGGUUGAAUCAGAUGUUUAAUUAUUCUUUCGUAGUAUGAAGUCAAUUGAACUACGUGUUUGAUAUGUAAGGAUGUAAAUGUUGAUCCACAUCAAAAAGUUAAGAGACCGUUUACGAUUUUAAUUUGUCCUGAAAGAUGCAUUUCACCAUUUGAUGUAGCUCGUAUGGGAAGCCUAACUUUUUUCUUUCUUUUUUUUUUUCUCGCAAUAUAGAUUGUUAACUUUUUCUUUUAAUUUGAGGGAUUCUCCUUGUCUUAAUGAUGUUGACAUCGGAGUGGUAUGGUUCUUGAAUCUUGACUAAGAAAACCCCUGCAUUCAUACACACAUUUUUAGUGUGCGGUCCCGCCAAUUUCAACUAUAAAAACAUCACAAUCCCCUUUCCUUCUUAAUUGCAGAGUGGAAAGGAAAACCAAUUCAGCCAUGUCUUCAUCUCCCUUACCAACUUCUACAAUGGUCGCCCUGCACUCCACCACAACCACCUUCUUCCGCUCUCAUUUAUUCCCAAACAAGUCCCAGACUCCACUGCAACGAAAACCCAAACAAUGCCUUGCGGGUAGAGUGCGCUGCAAAGCAACAAAAGGUGACAAUGAUAACCUAGAUCAGGGCCUAGCAAGACUCGACAGGAGAAACAUGCUGAUAGGUUUAGGCGCCGGGGGUCUCUACGGUAAGGUAGGAAACCCAUUUGCUUUUGCCGCACCAAUAUCCGCCCCAGACUUGACCACGUGUGUCCCUGCCAGCAAGCCAGACGGGUCCACCAUCGAUUGUUGCCCACCUACCACCACGACCAUCAUCGACUUUGAACUCCCUGACUCAGGCCCACUCCGCACUAGGCCCGCUGCCCAGGACGUUGCAAAUGACCCUGAAUACUUGGCCAAAUACAAAAAUGCCGUCGAGAUGAUGCGGGCACUUCCAGACGACGACCCGCGCAGUCACGCACAACAGGCGAUGGUACACUGCUCAUACUGCGACGGUGGAUACCCACAAGUUGGAUAUUCAGAUUUGGAGAUCCAAGUUCACUUCUGUUGGCUAUUCUUCCCGUUCCAUCGUUGGUACCUCUACUUCUAUGAGAAAAUCAUGGGCGAGCUCAUUGGGGACCAAACCUUCGCCCUCCCCUUCUGGAACUGGGACGCGCCAGCUGGCAUGUACAUUCCUGAAAUUUUCACUGAUACGACGUCAUCCCUCUACGACCAGUACAGAAAUACAGCGCAUCAGCCCCCGAAGCUCCUGGACUUGAAUUAUGGCAGGACCGACGAUGACGUCGACGACGCGACACGAAUCAAAGAGAACCUAACAACGAUGUACAAGCAGAUGGUGUCGAAUGCCACUUGUCAUAGAUUAUUCUACGGAGAGCCUUACAGCGCAGGGGACGAACCAGAUCCUGGCGCCGGAAACAUUGAGACCACUCCCCAUAACAAUAUUCACCUUUGGGUUGGCGACCCAACCCAGCCAAACGGGGAGGACAUGGGGACCUUUUACUCUGCGGCGAGGGAUCCGGUGUUUUACUCUCACCAUUCCAACGUGGACCGCAUGUGGUCUAUAUAUAAAGAUAAGUUGGGUGGUACGGACAUAGAAAAUACCGAUUGGCUGGACGCAGAGUUCUUGUUCUACGACGAGAAAAAGAAUCUCAUGCGCGUCAAUGUUCGGGACUCGCUCGACACGAAAAAACUCGGGUAUGUGUACGACGAGAAUGUCUCGAUCCCGUGGCUGGAUUCGAAGCCGACGGCUCGUAAGUCAACAAAUAAGAGAAAGGCUACGGUUUCAUCUUCUGAUCUUUCUACAACGUUCCCUGCUACACUAUCAGAUAUAAUCAGCGUCGAGGUGACGAGGCCGUCUAAGACGAAACGGACAGCUGCCCAGAAGAAGGCUCAGGAUGAGGUGCUGGUGAUUAAGGGGAUUGAGUUUGCCGGGAAUGAAACUGUGAAGUUCGACGUGUAUGUGAACGAUGACGCGGACUCGCUGGCCGGGAAAGACAAGUCGGAGUUUGCUGGGAGUUUUGUUCACGUGCCGCAUAAGCAUAAGAAGAAUAUUAAGACGAACCUGCGGCUGAGCAUUACAAGCUUGUUGGAAGAGUUGGAUGCGGAGACAGACAACAGUUUGGUAGUGACUUUGGUGCCGAAAGUUGGGAAGGGGCCAAUCACCAUCGGAGGGUUUAGCAUUGAGCUCAUUAAUACUACCUGAGUAUUAAUUAAUGUUAUUGUUGGUUCUUCUUGUUGUUGUUGGGUUGGCUUAAUCAUGUCUUUCUAGCUAAUUACUCCUGAACGUUCAUAAUGUGCUCAUCUACUGCUUAUGUGGCAGAUAAUGGUUGGUGUUCCUCGUGAAUAAAAGCACUAUUGUGUUUCAGUGUGUCUAUUUAUUGAAUAAAGAAUUUAUGGUAGAGUUUAAUCAUAAUUUUCUAGAACUAAUGAUGGUACACUACUUUAAUAUCUUCUCCUUCUUUUUUUUGUUUUGUUGUGAUUUUGAAGAAUGUACCCAUGUUUUGAUACAAUAAUUUUUUUGGAUAAUUUUGAUGAAUGUACCCAUGUUUAUAUAUAUACACACACACAAUAGUAUAUUUAUAUUUUAAUAUUUUUAAUCCCACAAAUUAUGGUUUUUUUUUUAAAUCUCAUUUAUAUAAACAACUAAAAUUUCUAAUUUUUAAUUUAAAAAAUAUAGUAACGUACAUAGAAAUAAAUUAUCACAUUAAUUUCAGAGACUUCGAUCAAAAAUUAAAAACCAACAAGGUUUUAAUAAAAGAAUAUUCAUAGUUAAGGACCAUAUCCAAAGUUUCCCUAAAAUAAUUGUACGAAAGAAUCUCUCUUUUCAUCGAGACCGGAAUUAUUGAAUUUAUGAUAGGAAAAUUCUACGCAUGCUUUGAAACACAUCAAUCAAUCCAUACUAUUAACCACAUAUUUCUUCAUCGAUGGAGAAAUUCUACGUAGCAUGCUUUUCACAAUUACAUUAUCUUUAACAUUCGUAAACAAAAAAGAGGUCUAGAUUCGCAGACUCGAUGCCUACCUAUUAUUUUUCAUCGAUUAUUGGUCAUACUACUAGUUGACUAGGAAGAUAGACUCUCCCUUACUGUUAUUAAAAUUUCAAAAUUUUCUAAUUCUCAUUUGUUUUUGUUGCAUAAGGUUUUUUUUUUUGGUUAAUUGUUGCAUAAGUAAUUUGGCAUGUAUUUUUUAACAAUGUUGGAUGAGAAAUCUAAUGGUUUAAGAAUUAUAAAUAAGAAAUUAAAAAACAUUUAGUGACAUUAAAAUAAAGUAUUUAUUUAUAAAACUAUUAAAUUCCUCUUUUCACAUUUUCCUUACUUGUUGUGUGUCUACUGUCUACAGCCCAUUCGACCUUGAACCUAACCUAAUUUAAUUGUGUAUCAAAUGGCAGGUUGGUGUUUUUUUGUAAAAUCGUAUUUGUCUAUUUUUCUUUACUAUAAAAAAAUGUCUUAAUAGUUUAGAUAUUUUUUUUUAAAAGGAAACGAUAAGAGAUUAAUUGAUUGAAAACGUCAUUACAUGGUUUGAAGUACAAGAAGCCCCAUUAAGGCAGCACACAUUGUUCUAAUAGUAAGUCAGAAAUGAACAAAGGAGGAGACUCAGCACAUUCACACUCCUGGCUCAAAGAGAGACAAAACGUGCUAGCCUAUGGACAAUAGAGUUAGCUUGACGGUGAGUAUGGUAAGAAUAGCAUCAGUGCUUGAUGGGAGUAGCACCUUGAUAUCUUUCAUAAUUUGUUCAACUGAGAAUAGAUUGAUAGACGAUACGAUGUGGGUUUGGCAAAGUGUGUGUCAAAAAAUGGAUGUCCCAAGAUGCUAACGAUAUGACACACACUUUGUAGGGCUCAUUCCAUAACAUUUUCAAGAAUUUGAAUCAUCUAUAUUUCAAUUCAUCGUUCAUAUAUGUCCUUGCCAAAAAUUAAAAAGAUCCAAAAUCAUUAAAACAUUAAUUUGUAAGGAAGAAAAUACAGAUGGGCGUCACAAAACCCCCCCCCCCCCGGUUGGUUCUUGUUCUGGCUCGAGAUGGGCUUCCUUGCCCCCUUGUAAUUAGGUUUUUUUUUUUCUUUCUAGAUGGCUUUGCGCCAUCCUUUUGUGCCUUUUGAGGCUUGAUUGUGAUUUCCUAUUUCUUCUGAGAGUUUAAAUGUAUUAAGUCCUUGAACAUAGGAUAUCAUGGUCUAUGUUUAGUUAUGUUUCUUGGAGUACUUGUUCUGUUUUAAUACAAUGACCUCUUUCUGAAUUUAAAAAAAAAAAAUUGACUUUGCCAAUUUUUCCCCAAUCAAACAUUUAACACACUUAACUGGCCUUCUACCAUAGUGAUGAAAGAAGUGUUACUUUUAUACUACUACAUGAGUUCGAAUUCCGUUGGCUCUCUUAUUUAAUAAAUCUAUCUUUUGAUAUAUAAAAAAAUAAAAAAUAAAAAUAAAAAAACUCAAAACACAAAUGAGCUGUGCAUCAUAGUAUUAGAUAAUGUUGUAUAAUUCAACAGACAACUGUUUUUUUUUUUUUGUUAUGAAAAAGCAAUAGAGAAUUAGGUAAAUACGAUGUAAAACAUUUCUACUCAAGAGGCAGAUUGUCUGCCCCCUGUUUGAAUGCCCUUUUUAUUCCCUUAUAUUUUAUGCGGUCACCGUUAAUACACGUCAACAUUUUAUAUUAAUUUUUUUUAUAGAUAAUAAGAUAAAAAACAAUAAGAAUAUAUAAUAUUGACAUAGCUUACUGUUUAACCAUGACCGCACAUAUAAAAAAAGAUGGAUAGAGCAUCCAAAUAGGAAGACAUACAAUAUGCUUCUUUCUACUCAUCUUCUAAGUGUCAUGUCAUAUAAUGGCAUGUGAUAAAUGCAUGACCCACCACAUGAAUAAAUAGUCCUCAAAACACGGCACGUGUGGAAAUGAUUUAGCUAGUGACCACCAAGAUUAUAUUCUUCUGGCAAAAUGCGACAUGUUUAUAUUUUCUGGCAAAACAACAUGAUAUUGAUGUGCCUUUGGCUUCUCUAUUGUUGGCGUCUAGUGUAGAAUGAUUAAAAAAAGUAAAUCUAAAGAAUAAUUUUUUGCGACGUCUUAACCUCAAUCUUCUUUUUUCUUACCAAUUAAUCAAGAAAAAUGCUAAGGACCUAUCUCAAAAGUAGAACUUUGGAAGUCUUUGUUGAUUCUUAUUUUUUAUAAAAUAUUUUUUUAUAUUCUUACAAGAAUUGAGAUGACAAAAAGUUCAUGAAGAGUCGUACUUUUGAAAUAAUCACUUGACAUUUCCUUUUAUACAAACAUGACUACAUGAGUUAAUUAAUAACUAAUUUAAUUUCAUGGUUUUCAUAACUAAUAAUUUUUAUGUACCCAUAUAUAUAAUGUAUUUGUUUACUAACUAGCCCAAAAAUAUGAUUGUCCCUUGAAAAAAAAAUUAAUAUUUUAUUUGAUGUAUGAUGAAUGUAUUCGAACUCGUAAUCUUUUUCCAAAUCUCUUCUAACAUUUAUCAACUCACUUAAAACUCCAUCUCUACCAUAAUUGUUGAUACAAAUUUCCGCCGUCUUUAAUCUUGACGAAAUUGCACCUGCAAAACAAUCAACUUUUUUGAUCAAAGACCUAAGGCUCAUGUGCCCACGAGGUGGGGGGGGGGGUUGGGGGGGGUUUAGGUCAACGGAUCUCCGACGCCUAAGUUAGUUUAUCUGAGAGUAAAGUGUUUAAGGCUUUUUAGGGUUGCAAAAGCUCUCUAAGAUUGGUAGAAUAUGGGGUAUUUAUAGCGCUAGGGUAGGCCAUAUAGGGUUUAAUGGAGAAAUAUUCUCUAAAUAUUCCCAAGAUAUUUAAUAGGAUUACUUACUUGAUAGGAGUCAAUCUUCAAUUAGGAAUGUAUUAAAGAUAGGAUUUGGGUAAUUAAUCCUUAUCUUUAAUUCCUUACCAUGGGCAGUUGUGCUCAGUUGCUGAGUCCUUCAGGGAUGUGAGCUGCACGUGGGAGAAUAUGAGAAGUUUGCUCAUUUAUUGAGGACCAUUUUGUCCUUUUUGAAUUAAAGUCCACGUGUCACCUCUAGAAUUUUUAGAAUUAUUUUAGGCUCCACAAUAAUAAUAUUAAAUUUUGAAACAUCACCUUAUAUUUACUUCUUGAGCAAUAAAUAGUGUGUUCUCAUGUGACCAGUACGUUAUAUUCAUACAAUGUGCAAUAUAGUCAGUAGUGAAUAGCUAUAUCCCCCGAUUCCCCCGCCCCUGCUUGAUAAAUGAAGGAUAAAUGAUCAUGGGUUUUUCAGCCUUCACCAAUAAACCGUGUCUAAUGAUUACGUAAAGCCACGAUGGGUAAUCCGUGGCAAUGACAACCAUGGGCUAUUGCCUUUUCAUUUUAUUUCACGGUGGAAGCUGCUAUAAGAAGCCCUUCGAAUUGUCGGGCUCCAACCCAUUAAACAGUGGACACACUUCAAUCUUUUUCAUGGAUAUUUGUGAAAGCUUUUGUGAAUUGUGACCAUGAAUAUGCAUGCAGUUGCUCGAACCACGUAGAGAUGUGAUUUCAUAUAUGUUUGAUUGGGCUAAAACUUCCACAGUUCUGAGUCUUUCAGUUGGAUGAUCUUUCGGGUCCUAGAGUCAAAAGUUAUUGAUUGAGCUGCGAAAAGAUACCUUUAUUUCUGAAAAAUUUAAAACUCUAAAGGCAAUUUUGAUUACUUAAUUAAGCGAAAAGGCAAAAGGACCUUUGUACGAGUACGAGGACACGUCUGGAUUGUAUAUCAAUCAACAACCAACAUUUUAUUAUUACUUUUUUACAAUCAAAAUUUGUCAUCAUUCGAUGACGUUCCUGUUUUGAUUAUUGAAUUAUCACAUUCGUUUAUAGUUUCUAGAUAACUAGUAAUACCGUAUGUGCUUUUUUCUUUUUUUUCUUUUUUUUCUUUUUUUUUGGAAACUACCCUAUGUGCUUUUGGAGUAUUAUUAUUGGACAUUACUCUUUGAGCAGCAAGAAUUUCUUGCAUUUUAGCUUUUUUUCAUGUGUCCAUUUUAUAUGCGGUAGUUGUUGAUUUUUGCGCUACGGGUUUGAAUCAUAUAAAUCUAUAAAUAAAGUUUAAAUUGCAAUGUUUGUAUGACAUUUAAAUUAGUCUGGACUUGUAGUUUAGAAGUAAUGUUUCUAACAUGGUGUAUGAAGCUUAAAUAUCCCAUAUUUUUUUUUCAUCCACUGUAUAAAAAAUGAAAAAUACAUGUGUUAAUCACUUAUACAAUACAUCCAAACGAGAAUAAGAAAAUUUCAGGGCAUCUAUCCCAUCUCAGGGCUAGAAUUUUAAUCUCUGGAAGGCAAAGCUUUUCUAUUCAACUCUUCAUUGUUUGUUAAUCUGAAUUACAAGGGAUGUUUAUAAAGCCUAAAACCUAAUGACCGCAUGAAGGUAAACUUAUUAUAGUAAAGAAAUCCUAAUCCAAAAUAAAAUAGGACACUAUAUCUAAUCCUAAUUAAACUGGAAAGAAUUAUAGAGCUCGUUGGAAGUGAUUUUAAAAGCUGAAAGUGUUUUUGGUGAAAAUGAUUUUGGAACUAAUGCUUAGUAAAAAUGCAAGUAAAUUCUAAAAAAAAACACUUAGUGUUUCCUUAAAAAAGCAUAUAACCGAUGGUUCUUAUAAUAAGCACUUCAAUUGCUUUUAAAUUUCAAAAAGAUUUUAUCUAAAAACGUUUUUAAUCAUUUUAAAAGUACUUUGAAAUCAACCUUUAAUCCUUAUAAACUAAGCAAUCAUAAAACUACCCCCUAGAUAUUAAAAUACUAAGGACUAAAGACUAAAAAGGCUAAAAUACCCUUUAAUUUAGGAAGUCACCACUCUUGUUCCACGUGACUUAGCUAUUACUAAUUUACUAUCACCAGUAAUUGAUGAAAGAUAAUAUCAAAAUAGAGAGGCAUAAUAGAGUCAGCAAAUCUAGAACCUCUCUUUUUCAUGCAAAUUUUCCUCAUCGACGAAGAAAAAUGUGCUAUAUAUUUUUUAUUCAUGUGUUUCAAAAGUGGAUGGUCUCUUCAGUAAGGUGGUGAACUUAAAGAAAUUUGAGGUUGUAUUGUAAAAUUAAUUAGUAAAUAGAGAGUGGUUCAAUUCUUUAUAAGCUCUUGUAUGAUUUGAUUUCUCACCGAUGUGAGACUUUGUCUUUACAUUCUUACACUAUUCUCGCACGUGGCAAAUUUUAAAACCUAACAUGCGGACAAUACAAAUUGGGUGACGUGGAACAUGUGUGGCCAUUGGACUUCACACGUGGGCUAAUAUGAAGAUUAGUCUAACUCUUCAUAAGCCCUUGCAUGAUUUGGUUAAUCACUGAUGUGGAACUUUGUUCUCACAUUCUCACACGCUCCAUCAUGUGUGACGAAUAUUCAAGCCUAACAUAUGAACAAUACAUAAAAUCUCAAUUUUCUACGAAGUAUCAGAGUCGGUUGAAUCAGAUGUUUAAUUAUUCUUUCGUAGUAUGAAGUCAAUUGAACUACAUGUUUGAUAUGUAAGGAUGUAAAUGUUGAUCCACAUUGAAAAGUUAAGAGACCGUUUACGAUUUUAAUUUGUCCUGAAAGAUGCAUUUCACCAUUUGAUGUAGCUCGUAUGGGAAGCCUAACUUUUUUCUUUCUCUCUUCUUUUCUCGCAAUAUAGAUUGUUAACUUUUUCUUUUAAUUUGAGGGAUUCUCCUUGUCUUAAUGAUGUUGACAUCGGAGUGGUAUGGUUCUUGAAUCUUGACUAAGAAAACCCCUGCAUUCAUACACACAUUUUUAGUGUGCGGUCCCGCCAAUUUCAACUAUAAAAACAUCACAAUCCCCUUUCCUUCUUAAUUGCAGAGUGGAAAGGAAAACCAAUUCAGCCAUGUCUUCAUCUCCCUUACCAACUUCUACAAUGGCCGCCCUGCACUCCACCACAACCACCCUCUUCCGCUCUCAUUUAUUCCCAAACAAGUCCCAGACUCCACUGCAACGAAAACCCAAACAAUGCCUCGAUCGACACGAAAAAACUCGGGUAUGUGUACGACGAGAAAAAGAAUCUCGUGCGCGUCAAGUUUCGGGACUCGCUCGACACGAAAAAACUCGGGUAUGUGUACGACAAGAAUGUCUCGAUCCCGUGGCUGGAUUCGAAGCCGACGGCUCGUAAGUCGACAAAUAAGAGAAAGGCUACGGUUUCAUCUUCUGAUCUUUCUACAACAUUCCCUGCUACACUGUCGGAUAUAAUCAGCGUCGAGGUGACGAGGCCGUCUACGACGAAACGGACAGCUGCCCAGAAGAAGGCGCAGGACGAGGUGCUGGUAAUUAAGGGGAUUGAGUUUGCUGGGAAUGAGACUGUGAAGUUCGACGUGUAUGUGAACGAUGACGCGGACUCGCUGGCCGGGAAAGACAAGUCAGAGUUUGCUGGGAGUUUUGUUCACGUGCCGCAUAAGCAUAAGAAGAAUAUUAAGACGAACCUGCGGCUGAGCAUUACAAGCUUGUUGGAAGAGUUGGAUGCGGAGACAGACAGUAGUUUGGUAGUGACUUUGGUGCCGAAAGUUGGGAAGGGGCCAAUCACCAUCGGAGGGUUUAGCAUUGAGCUCAUUAAUACUACCUGAGUAUUAAUUAAUGUUAUUGUUGGUUCUUGUUGUUGUUGCUGGGUUGGCUUAAUCAUGUUUUUCUAGCUAAUUACUCCUGAACGUUCAUGAUGUGCUCAUUUACUGCUUAUGUGGCAGAUGAUGGUUGGUGUUCCUCGUGAAUAAUAGCACUAUUGUGUUUUGGUGUGUUUAUUUAUUGAAUAAAGAAUUGAUGGUAGAGUUUAAUCAUAAUUUUCCAGAACUAAUGAUGGUACACUGCUUUAAUAUUAUUGUUAUUUGUGAUAAUGGAGGACUGACAAUUGAGUCAUAAUCUUGCGCAAAGAGAAAGAUAACGAACAUGUAAGCCAAAAAAGUGUAGGGGUAAAACAACAAUAAAGCUAAAUAUGUGGUAGUGACUAGCAUAAAAAGCUUUUUUAUUUUUUAUUUUUGGAAGAAAGGUAAAUUUUAUAACAAAGAACACUAACUUACAUAAAAAAGACCCACAUACAAAUAGAUACAAAGCAAAAAUGGACCUCCCAAGCUAACCAAAAAGGGCCCAACCAAGAGGCCCAAACCAGAAACAAACCGAAAGAAAAUUCGAGAAGUCUGCUACCACUGCUGCAACAGUGCGUCACGAUCAACCCGAUUCGGCUCCCCCAAUAGACACCUAAAACCCAACCAUGCAGCAACGCACUCAUUUUCGGUGUGAUGUAAUCGAAUCCAACGUGAUACAACCCUUACGCGGCUGCUUACUCAAUGUAACAGUAACUGGUAUAUUUCAUUACAAUAUCAACUUUUACAACAACCUUUCCUUUUACAGACUUAUUCUUUAUAUAGUCACUGCCUAGCUUAUCCUGCAAGUUAACUACCACCAACCUUCUCUAACAGACUUAAGGCUCGUUUGGAAGUACUUUAAAAAUGACAAAAAGCGUUUUUGGUACAAUUGAUUUUGGGUUUCAAAAGCAUUUUAAGUGCUUUUUGAAGAAGCACCAGAUAUGCGCUUCUUGCAAGAAGCGCAUAAAGUGAUUUUUCAUAAUCCACUUAGAUUUUUACUAAGGAUUGGUUUCAUAAACAUUUUCACUAAAAACGCUUUCAAUCAUUUAAAAAACACUACCAAACAAGCCCUUAUCCACUUAGCAACUAUAUGUUACCCUAGUUAGCCCAUCCACAUCACUGAUUCUAUAUGCUGAGUCAGCAAUUACAUAGAAUCCUAUUAUAGAGCCAAGAUAUGCUGUCUCCUCUUUUGUGUCUCUCAUUGUAGUAACUCUUUGAGAAUCAAUAAAAAAUGAUAUAUAUUGUAGCACUUAAAUGGUAACUGGUUAGUAAGUUAGAAUGACAUUAUAUUUAACGCGAAUUAUUUACCAGGAAGAGAAGCUUCUCUGUUAAUUUCUUUUUUCUUAAGCCUCUCUAACUUAAGUGGCUAAGUAUAGCCCAGUUCAAAAUUAUAACCCUCUAAGAAAUUAUUUUUUAUGAACAGUAUCAGAUCAUAUUCAUUAUUCAUAUACCAUUUCCAACCAAAACGGCUAAACAUAGCUCUUUCAAUAAUUUAUUAAUUUUAUGUUUUCUUUAAAUUUAUUAAAAAAAUAUCUUUUUCGGAUAUAAUCACGAGACACAUGUCAAGCUCAUGGAACUAAUGUAACAACUAAUACAUAUAUGUAUAUAUAAGAAAAUACAAUUUACAAGGACACAACAAAGACAAGAUCGUAUUCAUUUCUGUUCUGCCUGGAUGUGGUACUAAAUAAUUCCAAAAUCAAAACCAUACUCAUACAUACAAAGCCUAAAUUUUUACAAGAUUUCUUUGGACCGGAUUAUUUACAAAGGUCACAACAAAAGAAUAAAAUUUUUUUUUUUUUGGUAUUGCAAAAACAGUGCUAUUUACAAGGAAAUUAGGGUUUCAGUUGUGUUGGGGACCAUCAGACUCGAUUUCAUUAGCCAGUUCUUUUGUGAGCAUGUCAGCCCGAUCAUCAUGUCCACCAGCGAAUGUGUAAACCCUAAAAGCAAACUGAAAAGCCUUCCACAGCAUUUUCACACAAAUCUUUGUUUGCUUCUGAUCAGUUUUUGUUCCAGUCUUACAUGCGGCCUUUGCUUCUCUCCUUUCCUGCAUCAUUUAACAUUUCAAAGUCAAACUCUCUUUUUCAAAUCAUUGUUAUUUGUUUUUUAAAGUAGUUAAUUCUGAGUACUAACCUUUAGUGCCAUCUCCAUGCAGCUUGAGGAGACAUCCACCAUGGCUUCUUUGAACCGGAUGAGGAUAUUAAAGUCGAAAUGGAUAUUCUGGCUCUGAAACUUCUUGGCUUCGUCGUCUUUAGUUCGUUCCAUCGUGUCUAUUUUCCCUUUUAUCUGUGUAUUACCUUUUUUUAUUAGUUAUGGAAAAUGGAAAGAGACAAUUAAGUAAGUUUUUUAUAUAUAUAAGAAAUGAUAGUGAAGACAACUAAGUAAGGAGAGAUUAUAUUCACACACCCCAAAUUAUUUUUCUACACUCUUUUAAUUUUUUUAAUAUUUUCUACACACCACUAACAUUUGAUAUAAAAAUAUUAAAAAAUUAAAAGAGCGUGGGGAAAGUAAUAGUAGUAGGUUUUUUAUAUAAAAAACGAUAGUGAAGACAAUUAAGUAAGAUUGUAUAAAUGAACAUUUGUACACCUUAUCGAAGCAGCGUUCGGCCUUGUCAAGGAGCUGACCCAAUGGAACCACUAGUUUCCAGUUUUGUAGUUCAUUGAGCAUUGUAUUUAAAUUUGUGUGUAGUGCUGCUGCCAUCCUGAUUGCUUCCAACUUCUUUGUUGGGAACCCUUCAAACCGUGAGAGCACCUGCAAUUCAGAAAAUGGCGUGUCACAAAACACGAUUAUGAAGUGAUCAUAGAAUUAGAAUGGAAACGAACAAAAAUAAAGCGGACAAUUAAUGGUAUUGACCUGUGACUCAUCAGUCAAGUGUUCAAGGACGGAUUCGACUUUCUUGUGAAACUGCAUCAACUCAUUCAUGUCUUUUGUUUUGAAAGAACCAAGGGUGGUUCUCAUUUCCAUGAUAGGCUUCGCAUACUUCUGAACAUCUUCUUCAAUUUGUUGAAAGUAUGCUGAUCUGAGACACAAAAAUUAGAAACAUUAUAUGCAUGGUUUUCGCAUUAUUUUGAGUACUUAUUAGAAACAUUAUAUGCAUGGUUUUCGCAUUAUUUUGAGUACUUAGAUUUACUUAUCCAUACUAUAAGGACCUCUUUGUAAUCUCUGCUAGAGCAUCAGCCAUUCCUUGUUUUCCACCAGAGCUGCUUCCAAUUCCACCCUUUCUCCCAUUGGAUGCCUUGCCAUCCAAGCUAGAUCCUUCCACCUUUCUCUUGAGAAGGCGGUAGAGACUGCCCAUCUGAGGUGAUCUCUUCAGUUUAGUGUCUUUCUUGGGGCGCAAGGAUCUUCCUGUGCCGAGUGCGGGAGGUGGGGGUGGAGCAGCUCCAUUUGAUGGGCCUUUUAACAUGGGUGGUGGCGGUGGAGCACCUCCAUUUGAUGGCCCUUUUAACAUGGGUGGUGGGGGUGGAGGACUGCCAAUUGACGGUCCUGGUGGAGGUGGUGGUGCUGGAGCUCCAUUUGAUGAUCCUUGAGGAGGUGGGGGUAGGGGUGGAACCACUUUUGUUGACCUUGGUAUCACUGGUGUUGGUGGAGGGGUUAGAUUUACUGACACUGGCCCUGGUUCCAUUGGUUGAG